rnacentral:lncRNA from 1 species
UAGCCUGCUCACUUGGAAGGUGGAGAAAUACGUGAAAGAUAAGGCCAAUCCUUUCAUUGUAUUGUCCUAUUACAGUCCUGAUGGAGAAGAAGGAUUCCCUGGAAAUCUCCUGGUUAGAGUGACCUAUGCUCUACUUGAACCAUAUAAGCUGAGCGUAGUAAUGGAAGCGGAAGCCCUGAACAAGGCUACUCCUGUGAAUCUAGCACAACACAGUUACUGGAAUCUUGGAGGCCAUAACAGUGGUGAGUUUUUUUUUUUUUUUUUUUUUUUUGUUUUUUUUCUCCCCCUCCCCCGCCACCCCUCUUCUCCCUCUCCCCUUCCCCUCCCUUCCCCCGCCACCCAUUUCCUCCCCUCUCCCACGGCACCCCCUCUGCCCGCCACCCCUCUCCUCCCCUCUCCCACGGCACCCCCUCUGCCCGCCACCCCUCUCCCCUCUCCCCAUCCCCCUUCUCUCUCCCGCCUCUGCAAAAGAAGACCGGCAUCUGAAAAUUUUUUUUUUUUUUUGCAAUUUUCCUUCUCCCCCUCUACUCCCCUUCCCCCGCCACCCUCACCCUCCCUCAGUGCAAUCUGGUCUUGCGACUAGAUCGGCCAAAGGGGAAGGGGAAGGGUGGUGGGGGAGGAGUGGGGGAGAGGGAAAGGGAGAAAAAAAAGAGAGAGAGGAUCAAAAUCGGGCAAAGUGGGAGGAUGGAAGGGGAGGAAGAGGGGGAGAGGGAGAAAGGAAAAAAAAAAAACGAAGAUAGGCACCGGAAGAGGUGAUUGGCGGCGGAGGUGGUGGCUGGCGACGGAGGUGGUGGUGGGUCGGGGUGGGGGAGGAAGAAGAAGAAAAGGGGAAGGGAAUUUUGGAUUUUUUGUGUUUUGGAUAUUUUAAAGUGUGUAGGUUAAAACUUUGAUAAGUUUUUGGGGUUUCUGUAGUAAAAGUUGUUAAAAAACUAGUAUCAUACAAACUUGGCAAAAAAUCAAGGUUCCAAACAGGCCCUUUAUUCUCUAAAGAAUCUUGUCUCUUUCUCCGUAUACCCAUUCUAGUUUAGUUUGUUUAUUUUCGGGCUAUUCUUUUUGUUUUGUCACACCAUUACAUUUAUGAUACUCACUUUUUCUAUAUAAAAGAUUUUAGUCCAUGAAAUUUGAACUAAGGGCAGAAAAUACAUCGAAUAUAUCACAAAUAUAAUAAAAUUGAAAAUUCACUAUAUUAGAUCCAGAAAAUGAUAAAAAUUACAACGUGAAACUCCAAUAUAUUCUAAAUCUAAAAAAUUCAUGAGCAAUGCAAUGAAUAUUACUGCAUGUUAGCGCCAUCAAAUUUGCUAUCCAACUAGUUUAAUCUCAAAUUUGAUGUUAAGAUAUGAUGGAGGAACCCAAGAAAUCCCACAUUUGAGAUGCAAAUCUGAAAAAAAAAAAUCUUUAAAUCUAAUAAAGAAAUGAUAAAAAUUAAAGAGAAAACUCUGACUAAAAUAUCAGGAGAAAAGAGAACUCUUAUUGAAUUACUCUAGAAGAUAGAAAAACUCUCACUAGUAAAUAUUAGGAGAGAAAAACUCUCAUAUGAUACUCUAGGAAAGACUUAUUGAAUAUAAAACAAGAGCAAAGGAAAUGAGACUCUAAUUUGAAAUCUCCCACCCACAAAAGAAAAACUAUUGAAUGGGUUUUUCAAGAGAAGGUAGAGAAUAUUUUGACUAUAGUUAUUUUCAAGAUAUGAAGGUGUACAAGUGGUGUUUAAUUUUAUGACUUGGGGGAAAGCCCACACGACAUGCAGGAGAUUAAAGCCCGUCGUUGAAGGUUGUUGGUAAUUAUCGUUUUAAGUUUUGUGUUACUGACUUUACACAUAGGAUGAGAAAAGUUGAAAAGUUGAAAGUUUAUAAUAUGAGACGAUGGGAUUAUUAGUUUAUGAUAGUGGAGAAGUCUGUUGCAUUGGAGACGUGUAUUUUCUAUGCAGUUUAAAGAGAUUUGUCAAAAAAUUCUAUGUCUAUGUCAUAAAUGGUUGCUUCAAUAUUUUACCCCUGCACAUUUUGAUAUAUAAUGCAUAAGAAUAUUCUUUAACAAUAGCAAAUUGUUAUAGUAAAAAUGAAGAAAACUAUGUCGAAAGGAAUUUGAGAAUUGAUUACCUGAGUAUUGACGAACACUAAUUUUUGAUGGCGUCUUCCAUCUUUUGAGAAUCAUGGUGUGUGUUUUUUGAUCACUUCAACAAAUAAUGGUCCAAUUUCAAGUUUAAUGUUGUAUCAUUGAUAACUGGUUCAAGUUCGUGCUCCUUUUUUUGAAGACACUUGAAUUUUGUUUUGUGCGAUUUAUAAGUGAUUAUAAAGAAUACAAAAAUGGAAAAACCAAAGUUAUUAAACUUUUUUCUUUUACCUUGUUUGCAUUUUUUGUGCAUGGAUCCAAAAAUAUUGAAAGGGCAAGUGGCAAACAAGAAGCUUGGGAGUUCAUGAAGCAAAGAAUUAAUCGUGACCUAUCAUUACAAUAGAAGAGGAAGGGAAGAUUAUUGAAAAGUGAGGAGUUAAAAAUAAAAUUCAACUAGAGGAAGGAAGAUCUAACAAAGACUGAUCUACAAGGUAUGGAAAAAGGUCUUACAAGAAUAUGUAUAAUUUUGUAUUACAUAGUAUGAGUUACUACAUUUUGCAACUAUGAAAUUUACAAUUGAACUGAACUAGAAGUAUGGUAGCAUAGUUAUCUGAAAUUUGAUUUGAAGAUGGGCCUUGGCGAGAUUACAAGUAGUUGAUAUUUAACUUUGUAAAGCAUUAGCUGUAGGCAAGGAAUUGAGGUGAAAGUAGUGGAUGUGGCUAACGAAAGUGGGAGACUUUAAAAGAGUAAGAAGAAAGGUGUGGCAUUGAUAAGUAGUAGAAAAAAACUGAAAAAUGAGGAAGGAAAAUGGAUUAGUGGUGAUUAAGUAGAAAGAAGUAUUAGUUACACAAUAAUGAAUUGAUUUGAUUAUGGUUGAGCAUUGACAUUAUUAUAGAUGUGGCAUUUUAAUACAAUUGAUGAAACGGAAGAAUGGAAAGAAUGGUUUAGGAAAACUAAAUCAAUUGUCCUUAUGUUAUAUAGGUUUUUUGGAUCUAACUAUUUGAAAUCACCUAUUAAUGGAAUACGUAAAAAAUUAGAAGCGGCUAAAACUGAUUCCUCAUACAUCAAAAAGCACUUUAAUAACAAUUGAUAAAACCUCCUGCUUCUCAAGCAUUUUUAAGGCCUUUGAUGGGCUUUUAAGACAACACACCAAAAAUAAAGCUCCAUGACUUGCAUCCACUACCAAAAAGACGAUUAAAAUAAACUCAUAUAUCCAAAAUGCUCAUAAGCCAAAAAUAAUGUAAGGACAUUUACAAAACAACAACAAAGCCAACGCUGCCAAAUCUUGUACCUAAAGCUCAACCUUCACUCCAAAUAAUUCCACAUUUCCAAAAUACCCCACCCAUACAGUGCUCUUUUGACCAAAACUCAUUCUUAUAUUAUAUAAAAAGAUAAGGAUACCUACUUAAUUAUGGUUAGUUGCAUUUCAACUCUAAGGGAAGCAACUAAAAUUGUAGUACUUGUUCUUUGCUCUUUCAUAUUUUUAGAUAUAUUACUAGUAAUCCAUAUUGGUAGGAUCAAUACAUAUGGAAUAUAAAUAGAGUAAUAACUCACAAAUAAUGCGAUAAAAAUUAACAUGAACUCCUUUGCGUUUUCUAUACACAUCAAAUUGUUGACAUGAAUUUAAACAUAGGUCCUUUUGUUGAGUUUGAUAUUAACAACUCAAUUUAGAAAUUUGAAUUAAAUGAUUUGGGAUAAUAAUUAAUGCCAAAAAACACAAAGCCAAUUAACUGUCCAAGGAAAUAUUAUGGCUUAAAGUGUCAUAGAGAAGCCAGACAAACCUCAAGGAUAUAGUUGUAAUUUAAUAAAUUUUUUAUUCACUGCUUAUAGUAAAUAUAGUAUUUAUAUAUUCAGGGAAGACUAGAGUGCCAAAAGCGUAGUUAGUAAAAUGUGGGAUGGGUAUAAUACGAAAUUUAAUAUGUACCUAUAUUAUACGGAUUUUUUUUUUCAAAAGUAUGAUUAAAAGCUCGACGUAAAAAUAUGAGUUUGGAAAAAUUAUGUAUAUGAAUUUGAACAUGCAUAAUAAGAAUAUUUUUAGAAGUUACAAACAAAAAUUCAGAUAACUCUUACGAUUUUCAAAUAUUAUGCUACAUUUAUAUCACUUUUAACUCUUAUUCUUGUUUAUUGGAUAUUUAAAUUUAUUAAAACUUUAUUAUCUUAAUAUGUUUAUAUCUUUAAACCUUUACAAAUUUUGAUAUAAUAUAGGUGUUAUAUUAUAUAUAAAUGGAAAGAUAUGUCAUUAUUUUUCCACAAAUUUUAAUUCGAGAAGUAUAAUAUGCCAAAAAUUUAUUAUAUUAUGUGAAAAAUAAGAGCAUUUUUCAGAAUAUUUUAAAAUAUACAAAAUAUGAAAACUUUUUGAAAUUAUACGUGAUAUAAUACAAUUACUUACUACUCAAUAGCCUGAAAGUGAAGGUCAACAGGUUGGCUGUGGUCAUUUAAAGAUGACUUGGACCGUGUCUAAAUUUAUCAAAAAACCAACAGCAGUCAUGGUAACGUCAGCAAAAUGAAGUCAAUCACAAACCCACCAACGAGUAAUCAACAAAUGUUUUGUUAAGUAUAGUUUUCUUCUUUUGUUGAUUUUGAUGCAUAAUUGAGAAAUUAAGAUAAAUUUGACCAUAUGGUGACUCCUAGACAAUGUACUUUGUAGCCAAGUCUAUUCAAAAAGGGUUGUCAAAUAGUUUUUAUUUAUUUUUUUCGACUGAAUUUCCAUGAUCUGCAGAGAAUAAUCAUUAAAAAUAGCUUUACCAAAUGCUCAACCGGCUCAAACCUUUCUCGAUCAAAUCUAAUUUGAAUACAUAAAAUAGAUGCCAAAAAGAAAAAGAAACCAAUGGAAUUUCAUGCUACAACAACAACUGAAGUUGACUAAGUUCUUUGCCUUUAGUUACAUAAUCAUUAGCUAGACGCUAUGCCUCUGGCUCGAACAUACAGCAUUGAGGCCUAAAAUAUUACUCGGUUCAACUUUGAUUGUGAUAAUUUACCAUGCAUAUGACUCUUCGUCUUCUUAAAUAUUCUUUUGGUAUUUAAUCAAACGCCAACAGAGGUAACUUACACGGUUACACCCGAAUACUCUCAUAUUGCUGGGAAAUGGCAGGCUUAAUUGGGACAUGUGAAAAUUUGAAGCAGAAAACCUGCUUCUAGAACAGUGAACUAUUGCAUCUUCUAGGGCGUGCUUCCAGUGCAAGUUGUGGGAGUUUUGGUGCUAUGAAUUCAGUGUGGUUGACUAUGAAUCUGUUGUAGACUUAGUUUUUCUUAGUGCAACAAAAGAAGCAAUAGAUACUUUUUAAGUUAGACUUUUUUUCCUUUCCAAAAUUAUGUGAGAUUAUUAGGUGGAAUAAGUAUACGUGAUAUGAUAAGAAUUUGUGUAGCCAAAAAGUAGGAAGAGAUUCAGAUUGAAAUUGAAAGUUUCACUAGUUUUAACGAAGGUUAUGAGGUACAUACUUGGACACAAUGAUUUUGACCCUUUGAUAUCAAAUUAAUACAUUUGUGUAUUAUCCAGAUGUUUAAUGAGGGAAUUCGAGAAAAACUAUACUUGGGAGGAGGCCAAUCCCUCCUUACAACUCCUUGACUAAUUCAUCACUUUCUCCCUUAACCUUUAUCAAUUUGUCAAUUGACUAAUGGGUUUUAUUAUCUCUAAAUUAUUUAGAAAUUUCAAAAUCUCUUACUAACUUCAUGUUUCUUAUCACCAAAUUAUUUUUAAAUUGCUUAUCUACGUAGUAAUUUAAUUCUUUUAUGACUUUCCAAUACUUUUUCAUAAAUUUACAAUUAUUUCUAUGUUUAUAAUAUUAGCUAAAGGUAGUUCUCCUAUUUGUUUUUUCUUUUUCUUUUUGCGUCAUUUUUGGUACAAUGUAAUUGUCUUCUUUGCUUUUGGAUUUGCUGUGAUUGUGAAAAUAGAUUUAUUCAAUAUAUAUUGCAUUGUUGUUUCAAAUUUUAAGUUAUUUUCAUUGAUGAAUCAAAGUAUUCUAACACAUUGAUGAACUGCAUGUGGAUUCAGAUGAUUCAUUUUAAGUGUUCAUAUGAUAAUAAAAAUGACAUAUUGAUUAUUUAUGACAUAUUUGUGAUAUCACCGCGUCAAUACGGACUUGACAACCGUUCGUCUUACUAUUAAAUUAGUGAUCAUUAAUGCAGUAACAUUUCCAGUUCGAUGAAUGAGUUCGAUUUUAAAAUUUUGGUCCUACAGGAAUUUACUAAAACCGAAGGUUUGAAUCUGAUUGAUCUCCCAUUUAUAAACUAUUUGUUAUCAAGGAUUAAAGAGCACAAGGCAUUUGCAAUCUGGAAACUUUAAGUAAAGCAGCUCUUCCAAAAGCAGUUGUGCUAGAGGCAUAUGGCAAAAUCUUGUAGCUAGAGGACUCUGAUCUCGCUUCUCAUCUUGUGGUCUGGUUGUAGAAUUGGUGCAUUUGGUUCAUCAUGCUACCAAGGAGCAUACCAAUUCUAACCUCAUAUGGAAAGUUUGAGAUCUCUUAGGCCAAAAUUGAGGAGUGCAAAUCAUGGCAUUUUUGGCGAGAAUACAAUUCCUGUGCUGGUUUUUUUUUUUAAAUAUCAGUCUUAGGGUGCGAUUGAUAAAACUGAAAUUUGAAAACUGAAGUCUGAAAUCUAAAAUUUGAAGUCUAAAUCCAUCAGAUCAUUGAAUUGUUAAAUAUUAAAUCUAAAAUAUUUGAGUACAUAUCACAUUCAGUGAUAAAUAAAUAACUUAUUACUUAAUUUUGAGAGUAAGUUUUGCCUAGAAAAUUUAGUGUCACUUAAUUAAUUCAGAUGUUCAAUUUUUGGUUAUCAAAUUGUUAAAAUUUGUUAAAAUUUGAAUUCAUUAAGCUUAUCUGCUGAACUUGUUUAUCAAACAGGGCCUUGGUGUUACACCGGCGAGAGUACAAUUCUCGCGCUGAUUAUUUUUUUUUUAAAUAUCAGUCUCAAUGUGCAACUUGGUGUUACUCUUUUCUCAGAUCCACCUGGUGCUGUUAAGUCGUCCUUGUCAUUCAAUGCAAUGAGUGCAACUCAGUCACAACUCACAAGUAGUCUUAUAAUUGCGACUCCGGCCUUCCUCUUACUAAAAAGAAAACAGGAUCGAUCUCCCAUUUAUUGCAGAAUGUAUGUUUAACUUAAUUCAGAUCAAAUGGACAGUCAUUGGUUUGCAUAUAAGCAAGUACAUUCAGUCAUUCAUACAUACAUACAUAUAUAUAUAUAUAUAUAUAUAUAUAUAUAUAUAUAUAUGUGAAAAAGAUCACUUGUUUCAAAUUACCAUAAUUACCUAUUCAGUAAUAAUAACAACUGGGAAGCAAUGGAUUUGCUCAUGUUUAAAAAUAGUCUUCAUGCUUGGACAUCCAUAUCAACAGCGAUAAUAUAUAUCUCUGCCGUCUCAAAUACAUUCUUUUCAUCAACAACUGCAUUUCAAAAAUAGCCCACUUAAAUACAUUCUUUUCGUCUAUAACUGCACUAAAAAAAUACAAGACAAGCUAAAGGAGUUUACUUGGAACAAAGUCCAAGUUAUGGACUAGUUAAAAUAUGAACUUUGAAAUACAAGGAGAUUAAAAAAUCAGAUCAAAGACUAUUAAGAUUGAAGACAAUGUCAUAGAAUUAUCAUUAUCAUUACUAUUUAAAAAAUAUGAUGUGUUUAUACAAUUAGAAUGUGUAAUAAACUUUUAAUUGCUUUGUGUAAAUAAAUAUUUUGUACAACUACCAACUGCUUAAUAUUGCUCAUUAUAUAGUUUCUCAGUUUAUAUUAUGCCAAUAAUCAAAGUUUUACAAAGAACUUUAUUAUAUUAAAUGUUUUUAUAUCUUAAAAAAAUAUGUUCACGUGCACAGCACAUGAAUUAUUAAGGAGAUCAAAGACUAGAAACAGUGUCGUAGACUAUUAAGACUAAAGGCAAUGUCACCGCCAAAAGGUGGUGUGUUCGAAUCUCGCUACUGCUUCAAAAUUGUGCUGGUGAGGUAUUUGUAAGAACCGCUCCAAGUAGCCUAUAAUCACAAAGGCAUACAUUGACUCGUGGUGGUAAUGAAUCCAUUCAAACAUUAAUUUACCCAAAAUUACAAUUAUUACUUUCAGGAUGACAAAAUUACAAAAUAUUUCCAAAAUCUUGAUUUGCUCCAUGUAUUGUUAGGUUUGGUCCAGAAAAUUGACGAAUGGGUUUUUGGCAACCCGAAAUACAAAUUACAAUAUAAAUAACAAAGCAAAAAUAAAUAAAAUAGAGAUAAAAAUUUAUGUGGUUCCAUCAAAUGACCUACUUCCACGGGGAAGUUUGAUACUUAACUCAAAAACCUGCAUAAGGCCCCGAAAACCUUUGGCAUACUUAAACUCACUUAAUCCAAUAUAUUUAUAACUACUAAAUAGAAAGACUUAUUUGUAAAACUCCCUAUGUGAAAUAUAAAGACAAACUCAACAAGUACGCAGGGUUUAUUCUUACAAAGAAUACAUCUGCAUCAUAUCAUCUUUUGCUGAUGCUUGAUUGUGCUAUGUAGGGGGGAAAAAGUAAGGCACUGCAUUCUGCAUUUAAUAGCUAGGAAGAUACUUGCAAAAAAAAAAAAAAAAAAAAAUCAUCCAACUUCUACAUAUCUGAUGCAUCUAUUAAUUUAACAAGAAAAGAAAUGGAAAAGAGAAUCACACGGCCACGGUUAAUCACAAGAAGUCACUUAGAUGGUUCACAAGCUGACAUCGACCUGGAAAUAAGGAGCAUUGUUGGCCUACAUUGAGGAUCAGCAUGUAGACAUUCUCUUGCUAGUUUGAGAAUGGACAUUAGGAUCUUUUCAAUUUCUUGAUUGGGAUACAGAAGUCUUUGGUCGAGCAAGUCUUUUAGUUCUAUAUCUUCAGGGUUUGAAGACAUUAGAUUAGCAAUCAAGUCUCCAGGAUGCUUUCCUUUGAUUACUUCCAUCGUCAGGACCCCAAAGCUAUAAACAUCACAUUUUUCAUCAACUUUCAUUGUGUAGGCAAAUUCUACAAGAUAAAGUUGGAAGAUCAUGAUAUGUGAUCAUAUUUGAAUUUACUAGUUAACAAAUUAAUGAAAGGAAAGAAAAGAAAAAAAACCUUUAUAAUUACCUGGUGCAACAUAUCCAUAGGUGCCUGCAAGAGAACUCCAAUUAGAUGAGUCUUUUUUCAGAAACUUGGAAGUGCCAAAAUCUGAAAUGUGAGCCUCAUAUUCUGGAUCAAGCAAAAUGUUUUUGCUUGAUAUGUCCCGAUGUACAAUCACUAGUGAACAAUCAUGAUGCAUGUAAGACAAAGCAUGAGCGAUGCCUUUAAUGAUUUUCAACCUCUUUUGCCAGUCUAGCACCUUAGCUUCUUCUUCUAUGCUCAAGAUUUUGGCCAAGCUUCCUCUUUCAAGGUGCUCAUAAACCAAAAUCGAAUGCUGAGCAUUUGAGCAGAAGCCAAAGAGUUUCACAAUGUUUCGAUGCUUGAUUUCUGUCAAAGCCCUGAUCUCAUUCAAGAAAUUUCUAUCCUUUGCCACAUUAGGCAUGUUGUGAAGUCUUUUUACAGCUACUACAUCGCCUGAUGGAAGCUGUGCUCUGUAAACACUUCCAUAACCUCCUUUCCCAAUGCAAAAUAUUUCACUAAACUCUUCCGUAGACCUCACUAUUUCUUUAUACAAUGCCUUGGCAUCAUGAGCACAGAUGGCAAAUAAAUUGCCCAUCUUCACCUCCAUAACUUCCGCUCUUGAAUUCCUUUUCCUUUGAUCAUGCAAUCUGAGAACUCCAAAGAAUGCACCAAGACGCAUGAAUGAUCCCAGAAGAGGUAAUACAAUUACGAGAACAAGUUCCUUCCUUUUAUUCAUGCCAUGCUUUUUACUCAAUGGGGAACUUUCACAGGCUUGUAACCCGGUAAUAUUGCCACACAAACCUUUAUUUCCCUUUACUUCUUCUAAGGUUAGAUUCGCAAAGGCUCUACCACUCGGAAUUGGACCCUCCAAAUUAUUAAACGAAAGAUUAAUGUGACAUAAACCGGGCAGUGCUGCCAAAGUUUUCGGGAUCAAACCAGAGAGGUUAUUAUGGGAGAGAUCCAACAUCCCCAGACUCUGUAAACUUUGAAGCUCGGAUGGUAUCUCUCCUAUGAAGAAAUCUUGACUCAAAUCCAAUUCAGAAAGUUGGGUUAACUUCCCAAUUUGGGGUGGAAUCUUCUGACUUAACAUUGUUGCUCAAGUUCAUGUCAUGAAACAAGUGUUUCAAAUCUCCCAGAAGUUUUGGUAAAUUUCCACUCAAGGAGUUUGUGGACAGGUCAAGAAAUUCCACUAGCCCUCCCAAUUCCUGAGGUAUACCACCAAGAAAUUGGUUGUCAUGUAAAUCUAGUUUAAGCAUAGAAGCUAACUUUGCAACUGCCCUUGGUAUCUCCCCUGAUAAAUAAUUUGAAGAAAGAUUAAGUGCACGUAGUUGUGUUAAAUUUCCAAUUUCUGGAGGUAUACCACCUGUGAUGUUGUUCUUUGCAACCAUCAGGGUCGUCAAAAGUUUGCAUUUGCCCCAAUUGCUGGAGAGUUCUCCGUAGAAUUCAUUGUUGCUGAGAUCUAUGAAAUUCAGGAAUGGAUAGAUUCCAAACAUUUCUGACAAGUUUCCGUGGAAAUGGUUACCAUUGAAACUGGCCCUAACUAAGCUUGAGCAGUUUCGCAAGCUUCUAGGGAUUGGACCUGAAAGCAUGUUCCCAGAUACAGCAAUAAAUUGGAGUGUUGCAUUUUGACAUAGUAGUUCUGGCAAUGGACCAGAGAACUGAUUUUGAGCCAAUAACAUAAAAGCCAACUUUUUCAAGUUUCUUAGCUCUUCUGGAACGGUACCAGAAAUUUGGUUAUCUCUUAGCUGCAAUCUUCUUAAGCUGCUCAAGUUACCAAUUGCAACAGGAAUGGGACCAUUAAGUUGGUUCUCACCUAUUCCCAUAUCGAUAAGGAAUUUCAGAUCACCCAGUUCCUUUGGAAUUGAACCCGAAAGCUGAUUGUAAUAGAGAUAUAGUUGAAUUAAAUUAGUUAAAUUUCCGAGUGACUUUGGGAUGGCGCCAGUAAGAUUAUUCUGACUCAGAAAAAGAAACUGAAGUGAGAUCAAAUUCCCAAAUUCACUAGGAAUGGGACCAGAUAGGUGAUUUUGGAAAAGACUUAGAUUCACCAAUCUAUUGAGGUUACCAAAAGUGGUUGGAAUUGAACCAGAAAAUUGAUUCGUUUGGAGAGACAAAUAUUCCAAGUUGCUCAAGUUACCAAUUGAAACAGGAAUGGAACCACUGAGUUGGUUUUCACUUAUCGCUAUAUCCAUAAGGCAUUUCAGAUCACCCAGUUCCUUUGGGAUUGAACCCGAAAAUUGAUUGUAAUAAAGAUACAGCUGAAUUAAAUUGGUUAAAUUUCCUAGUGACUUUGGGAUUGCACCAGUAAGAUUAUUUUGAAACAAUAAAAGAAAUUGAAGUGAGAUCAGAUUCCCGACUUCACUAGGAAUGGGACCAGAUAGGUAAUUUUGAUAGAUACUUAGAUUCACUAGUCUAUUAAGAUUACCAAAAGUCGAUGGAAUUGAACCAGAAAACUGAUUCGUUUGGAGAGACAAAGAUUCCAAGUUACUCAAGUUACCAAUUGAAAUAGGAAUGGAACCAAUAAGUUGGUUCUCACCUACUUCCAUCUUGGUAAGGAAUUUUAGAUUACCCAAUUCCUUUGGAAUUGAGCCCGAAAGUUGAUUGUCAUUGAGAUGCAGUUUAAUUAAAUUGGUUAAAUUGCCUAGUGAUUUUGGGAUUGCACCAAUGAGAUUAUUUUGAUUUAAAAUAAGAAACUGAAGUGAUGUCAAAUUCCCGAUCACACUGGAAAUGGGACCAGAUAGGUGAUUUUGGAAAAGGCUUAACUCUACUAGCCUGUUGAGGUCACAAAAACUGGCUGGAAUUGAACCUGUUAAAUUGUUGUCCUCGAGAUAAACUUCAAUGAGAUUAUGUAGAGUUCCUAAUCCUGUUGGAAUUGGACCUGAAAGUCGAUUACUUGCAAGAUCCAAAUGAGUCAAGCUUCUCAAGUUGCAAAUUUCAGAUGGGAUUUCUUGUGACAAUUCAUUUACUGAAAAAUCAAGAUAAAUGAGCUUCGCCAGGCUACCUAUCUGUUUAGGUAUGCAACCAAAGAUCUGAUUAUGGCUGAGAUCAAGAUACUCAAGAUUUGGGAGGGAUGAAAAUGGGAAAUCAAAGAGGCUACCUUUAAUACUCCAAGCUGAGAGGUUCAACCUGUUGACACCUCCAACAACGCAGGAAAUACCGGCACAAGUGCAUGGAAGGCUAGAAGAAUUCUUGGCAAUGAUAGAUUGAAGGUUCCAUGAGGUCAGAAAGCUAUUGUUCUGAUUUUGAAAACUGGCUUUCCAUUUCAAAAGAGCUAAAGCCUCUUCAGCAUAAGCUGAAGCUCCACAUUUGGGGUGAAAUGAUGGGAAAAGUAAGACCAGAAGGAAUAAGGAGAUCAUUUUGAAAGAACUCAUGAUUACAUUCAAGUUUAACUCAAGUUGGCUCACGUUGUUACGCUGUACCCCAAAUGAAGCCAGUAUUUAUCCUAACUGUACACGGAAGACUUCAGAGGUCUUCUUGCUCGGUUCCCUCUUCUUUAUUUUCAUUGAAUCUUGACAUUGAAACACAUAAGAUGUCUAUUACAAUGGGCCAAGAAAUUUAAAGCAAUGAAGUCUUUCCACGAGAUUGACUAUUUUGAUCUUCUAUCAGUAAUUUUUCCUACUGAAUCUACAGAAUAAUGUGACUCGAGUACCUUUGGAGAAGGAGUUGAGAUCACCUGAUUCCUAAAUAAUGAUGAACCUAUAGGCUGAGCAAGUUAUGUUAUAGUUCUAGCCCCGUUUGACAAAAGAGUUUUUUGGAUGUUUAUCUAAAAUUUUAUUGUAACUUACUAUAGAGGUUGUAGAAAAAAUUCUUCAAGUGUAUAAAAUUUUAAAUAUUUUGAAAUGUAUAAUUUAAAAACUUUGAAAAGAUUUUAAGGUUACUAUAACUAAAAUUGUUAAAAAACUUGUAGCAGACAAACUUGGUCAAAAACUUAUUUGCCAAACAGACCCUAUUUUCUGGAUAUGGAUUAUACAAAGCUAUUUGACAGUAUAUUUCACAAAAUGCAAGAGAAGUCAGAAAUUGCCGAAAGCUAUUUUUGCCAAUUGUAUAGGAAGAUUUAGUUGGUCGUAGCACUUGACAAAAAAGGAUAUGGCUGGCAUCGGCACUCUAGGACAAAUUAUAUAUAACCGCUCGUAGUUUUGUAUAUUACGAUAUAACUCCUCUGAAGUUUUAAAAUAGCUUUAUAACUUCCUUAUAUAACCCGCUUAUGUAUAAGAAUAAUAUUAUAAGAUAAGAAUCAAGUAAAAAUAUCGUAGGAUACAAUAGCUAUGCUUGUUUUUUACUGCCUCCGUCUCAAUAUGUUUUUAUCGCUCUUUGACAAUCCAACUUUUUAAAAAUAGUGUUUUGAUUAUGAUGUUAUAUUUUUCUUUCUAAUUUUAUCUCCGAAUUUCAGAUUUUGAAUUUGAAUAUACAAUGUGUAUGAAUAAAAAAAUGGACAAUAUCGGGAAUAAAAAUAUAAAAUAAUUUUGACUUUUGUAACAUGAGAAACAUUUUGGAACAAAUGGAGUAACAAAUUUGAGACUGGGAUCUUGUUGCCAAAGGUCCCAAUGAAUACUAAGUCAAAAUGAGGGCCUACCUUAGUCUGUUAAGGCUUGAUGAUGAAACUUUCGUGAGCAAUUAACUAUUUUUCUUUAGGGUAAGCAAUAAAAAAAAUCCCUGUGGUAUAGCUAAAAGCUUCUUGUAGUUUCAAAUCAUACGUGUUGGUACCUUAUAGUUUGAAAUAAUUUGAAACAUUGACGAAAAUCACUAAAACAAACAAUUUUGAGUGAAAUGACAGAAAUGCCCUAAUAAUAAAAGCAAAAAAUAGUCUAAAACAAAUGGUUUUGAUUCAUUAGUUUCAUUCACUAAUAAUAUAAGCAAAAAAUGUCGAUUUCUACAAGUUCGAAGCAAAUUUGAAGAAGAAUCAUGGUUGUUUUAUUAAGGUAUGAGGAGCAAAAUAGGUAUUUCAGAUAAAAAUUUGCCUUAAAAAACUAUUUUUUGGAAGAACCAUAUGCAUUUCCAGUGCGUUUACGUCAAACGCAUUAAAUUUAACGAUUUCCGUUGAUUUUUCACUUUACUUCAAACCAUGAGGUACCAAUGUGUAUGGUUUGAAAUCAUAGGGGGCUUUUUUCUAAGAUAGCUAUACUACAGGAGGCUUUUUUGUUGUUUAUCCUUUUCUUUAAAAUCCUACAAAUUGUAUAAGACACAACAUGCAAGAAAAUACAAGGAAAUACACAAAAUUGCUACACUAAUGAAAAAAUAACACUAACAAAAUUGCUACAGUAAUUUUUCCUACUAGCCAAAUAUGCAUGAAGAAAAAAUAACUAAUUUUUCUUCACUUUCCUCCACUUUUCCUUGCAACCAAACACUAUCCAAGAUUUUGAAAUUCUUCUUGACAUUGGAGUUUGGGUAAAUGAGCCUAAUCGAUCCGACUAUUUUAAUAUUUAAAUUUGUUUUAUUAUUUUAUCAGAUUUGAAAUUGUGUUUAACCUUAAUUUGUUUAUUUAUCACUUCAAACUUAAGCAAACUUUUAUCGAAUCAAAUUUAAAUCGAGCUACUUUGAGUUAAGUUCAAGCAGUUUGAACCUUCUAAAUGUAAGUUUCACUUUUAUACUAAAUAGUAUGGGAGUAUGUGCGUUGCACGCUAUAGGUGUUAUGUUUAUAUGAUACUUGUUCAAAUAUUCAUUCUCGUAAGAUUAAUUAAAAAAAAAUUAACUGUUUAAAAAGUGUUGCAUCGAUAACAAUCUUCUCGUUUAAUGACACAUAUAAAAGACUUUUGUAGGUUUUAACAAAACUUAAUUAAUUGUAUGUCUUGAUAAAAAUCUUAGACAAAAAAAUAGAAGUAAUUUGGAAAAUAAAAGAAAAAGAAUUUAUUGAAGGAAAAAAUUCAUUAUUUCCAUGCCAAUUAACAUGCAUGUCGAGUUUCUUAUUGUUUAAAUAUUUUGAUUACCAAUGGCAUCAUUUAAAUAUUUUGUUCCAGGAUUACCAGGCAUGUCUAACUAAAUCUUAAGUGUGACUUGGAAUACAUAUUAGAAUCAUGCUUCCUUUUGACCUCUGAGUAAUUUUAUAACAAAUUGAAAGAUGUUAAAAUAAAAAUUACAGUGAUACUGGUUUUUUUGGCAUCAUUAUAUUUUGCGAUACUGGUUUCUUUGACAUCAUUAUAUUUUGUUAAUUAAGGUUAGUUUCACAUGAACUCUAAUUAAUGCUAUUACACUUCAUUUUACUUGUACUUAUAAUUUACUACCAAAUUCUUGGCAUGAAUUUAAAGGUAUAAUCGACUUGGGCUUCUCGUCUUCCGUUCUAUUUCCUUUUCUUGAGUUUAAUGUCAACAGACCAACGUUAAAAACUUCAACGAAUUGAUUUUUGGGUAGUAAUUAGCACUUGGGAUCCUCGGUGACAUGUUUUCUAUGUCAAUCCAAUGCCACCAAUAGUGUUGCGCCAAGUGUCAUAUUAUUAUUUAUAUUUGUGCUAAACCAAGCCAAGUUGAAUUAUUAGAAAAUUAAAGUGUAAUUAAUAACAAGACACUUGGCGCAACACUAUUGAUGGCAUUGAAUUGGCAUAGAAAACAUGUCACCGAGGAUCCCAAGUGAGUAAUUAGUGCCAAAAACUCAAAGGCUAACUGUCAAAAGAAAAUUUUAGAGCAUAAAUUAGAAUUGUAAUCUAAUCUUAUAUUAUAAAAUUUAUAGCUACGAUAGUUAAGAAAGACCGUUCUGACAGUGAAGUUCAUCAGGUUAUUUGCGGUCAGUAUAGGCCAUUUUAAAUAUGACUUGGACAGCGCUAAAUUUUCAAGUACCAAGGCCUAUGUCUUGACAACCUUAGCAAAAUGAAGGAAAUUCUAAAUCCACCAACGAUGAUCAAUAGUAUAUAUGACUAUUGGAUGAAUCCUAGAGAAUGUAUUUUGAAGCAAAAUCUAUUCAAAUGAGUUACGAGAUGUGAAGACCCCACCUCCCCACGGAACGAAUCCAAGAGUUUGGCAGAUCGCCUGUCCAACUUUCGUCGGAACUCACUCGCUAGCAUUCUUAAAAAAGGUUAUUUACGCUUCUAAAUUUAUAUAGGAGGUUCCCAAAGCAACCAUAAUUCAAACUUCGUUUACAAGUUAAAAGUGAAAUGUAACUUUACAUUGCCAAAUAUUCCAAAUACAUUCAAUCCAUAAAAGUACGAAUACAAGAAACUUAUAUACACUAGUUCAUGCCUACUUGCUCCGACUUCCACUCUUAUAAGAAAAACAAACUAACAGAAUGACCUAAAAAGUCAAUGAGAUUCCUAAACAAGCAAUUAAGCAGGUAUAUACAGAAACAUUUACAUUUAAUACUUUGCACACUUGACACAGUAAUAAGCAGCCAUUCAAGAAUCAAUUAUUCAUUUAUUGAAAGAAUACGUGCUCACUUGAAACCAUUCAUUCAUUCAAUCGUCGAUCGUUUUCCUUAUCCCUCCAAUGUAAUCAUUGGCCAUUCGCCAACCAUCUGCCCCUCCACCCCACGCGACCCACCCAGCCCAUCAUAAUCAUUGGCCAUUGCCAACGCUUUCCCUUAGUCAAUUCUCUCCUUCUCCCCUUCUUGUCCUAAUGUCCCCCACCAGUAUUUUUCAAACGUUGCGUAUUGACUCAGUUAUCAUGAUGGGAAAAGUAGGACCAAAAGGAAUUUGGAGAUUAUUUCGUAAGAGCCCAAUGACAAUUUCAACUUCAACUCAAGUUGGCUAGCGUUGUUACUCUGCACCACAAAUGAAGCAAGCACUUAUCCCCUCCGUACAUGGAAGACUUCAAGGGUCUUCUUUUUCUGUCCGCCCUUCUUUGUUUUUUUUUUUUUUUUCUUUUUGAGAUUGAAACAAAUAAGAUGUCUACAAGCGAAAUUUAAAGCAAUGAAAAUGUUUUCAUGAGAUUGACCAUUUUUUAUCCUCUAUGACUAAUUUUUCCUAUUGAAUAUACACAAAAAAGGUAACUCGAGUAACUCUUGGAGAAGGAGCACAAGGCUGAGCAAAUUUUGUUAUAAUUCUAUAUUUUCUUGGCAUGGAUUAUGCAAAGUUAUUUGACAGUAUAUUUUCAUGAAAGGCAAGGGCAGUCAGAAAUCGCACAAAGCUAAAUUUUUACCAAUUCUAUAGGCAGAUUUAGUUGGUCGUAGUACUUGCCCAAAUAGAAUUUAGUUGGUAUUGGUACCAGAACAUUUAUGUGUCUGUUUAAUUUCAAGCAUUGUCUGCCUUCAGGUUAAUAUAACCUUUUCUUUUCCUGUUAGUUAAAGGCUGCAGAACUUCCUCAGAAGUGAGGAUAAUUUGGCCAGAAUUAGGAGAAGCAUUUGAUUGAAUUCUGAGGUGAAAGUUUAGAACUAAUGGUACUGGCGAAUUCUAAAAUUUUACAUUGCAGUUAAAAACUUAACCACCAUCUUGAAGAAUGUCCAAAACACAGAAGUUUUAAUUGCUGAUGUAACAAAUGCAUUGCAAAAUUUUUCCACCUGGAACGUUAGUUGAGUGGUUAAGGAUAUUAACAUUGUUGCCUUGAGAUGGCAAAGUAUGCUAGUUUAAUUGAUGAUUCUAUCAUGUGGGUGGUUUCUUGCCCACACUUUUUUCGAUCCACUCUUUAUAUCGGCUCAUCAAUUCAUUAAUAUUAUAGGUUUUUUUUCUAUCAAAAAAUAUAUUUGAUUUUCAUUCAUAUUGAUCUAUUGAUCAAUAUAAGGACAACAUAUAUAUAUAUAUAUAUAUAUAUAUAUAUAUAUAUAUAUAUAAUAAUUCAGUGUAACCAGAUCAAUAAGUUAUUCUAUAAACCCAAGGACACGCAACAUCAAAAAGUUAACGAUAAUAUUGCAGUUGUGCUUGUUUUCAAAAUUAUUAGAUAUGGUUCAAUUAAAAAUUAUUUUGGAAUACGGCAGUCGUGCUUGUUUUCAAUCAAAUUUGAGGUUGUGCCCUUGUUGGCAAAGGUCCAAAGGACUUUUAAGUCCGGACAAGAACCUAUCCCAAUCUUCAAGGUAUAAAAAUAUAGCCUCAUCGCUUUCUUAUCAUAAAUUCACGAUGCACCAAGGUGGGAACGGGGUGGCAGAUGGGUCUACCAAGCGCUAAAAUUUUGAAAAUCUUAUUGCUAGACAAUCAAAUUAGGGGAUAAACGAUCUUAAUCAAGUGAAUAUUCUCAUGUUCAAAUUUUUUAAUUGUUUUUAAUAAAUCUAAAAUUGUGCUAACAUUAGUUUGUUUAUUUGCAGAAUCAAACUUAAACGAACUUUUAUCGAAUUAAACUCAAGUUGAGUUCGAGUAGGUUAAACUUUUUAUGCUAAUAGAGUCAAAUUCGAAUCGAAUUUCACAAUUUACCAAAUACAAGAUGUUGCUGGAGUUUGACUUGAGUAGCUGACAAUACUAAAGUCAAACGAGUUCUUACCAAAUCGAAUUUAAUUUGAUUUGUCUUUUAAUCCUUAUUGCAACAUUAUUUCUUUCAAGUGCAUUGUUAGUGAAAUUAGUUUUUCCCACUUAACAGUAUGUUUCCCUCCCUAGUCUUGUGUGUGUCCAAGUAUUGCUGCUCCUCUUCAUUCCACCCUACCCCACCCUAUUUCACUCAUUGCCAAAGCAUUCCUUUCUUCAAUUGUCUCCUUUUCCCUUCUUGUCCUCCAUUAAUAUUUUACCUACAUGACUUUCAUCGAUGUGAUUGGUUCGGUAUCAUGACUUUCAUCGAUAGCAAUCGCUUUUAUAAGUCUCCCGAAGUAACGGGAAAAGUAGGACCAAAAGGAAUAGGAAGAUUGUUUCGAGAGAACUCGGCUCUGCUUGGAUUAGCUAUUUUGGAAGUGUUUUUUAAAAAUUUUACUGUAACUGUGUAUAUGAAAAACUUUUACUGUAGAUGUUUUUAGGAUUGUUUUUAGGGGUAUUUUUAAAAUAUAUUUUUGAGUAUUUUUAUAAUUUACAAUUUUUUGAGAUUUUUUUAAAUAUAUACUGGCUCUGUUUCUAUAUAUUAAUAUUUAUUUAGUUAUAUAUAUAAUAUUUUUUAUUUCAAUUUUGUUUUACAAUAUGUGUAUUAAUAUAUAUAAUAUAAAUAUAAUAUGUAUAUUAAUAUAUAUUUAAUAUAUAUAUAAAUAUAUAUUAGUAUAUGUUAAUAUACAUAUUAUAAUAUACAAAUUGAAAUAUCUACAUUUAUAUAUUUAUAUAAUAUAUUUAUAUAUUUAUAUAAAAAAUAUAUAUUUAUAACAAAUCCCGUCUGUUUUCAUAUAAAUAUAUAAAAAUAAAUAUAUUUAUAUAUUUAUAUAAAUAUACAUAUACACAUAUUUAUAAAUAUAUUUUAAACAAAAAUAUUUAUAUUUACAUAUAUAAUAUAAUACACAAAUUGAAAUAUACAUAUUAACAUAUAUUAAUAUACAUAUUAUAAAACAAAAUUGAAACAAAUAUAUAAAUAAAUAUUUAUAUAUAUUUAUAUAAAUAUAUAUAUAUUUUAAAGAAAAUAUUUAUAUUUAUAUAUAAAUAUAUAAUAUUUAUUGCAAUUGAUAUAAUAUAUAUAAUAUACAUAUUAAUAUACAUAAUUGAAAUAUACAAAUUGAAUAUACAUAUUAAUAUUUAUUAUUAUACAUAUUAUAAAACAAAAUUGAAAUAAAUAAAUAUAAAUAAAUAUAUUUAUAAAUUGAAAUAAAUAUAUAAAAAUAAAUAUAUUUAUAAAUUUAUAUAAUAUAUAAAAAUAAAUAUAUUUAUAAAUUUAUAAAAAUAUAUAUAAAUAAAUAUAAACCAGGAAAGAUAAGAAAGCAGAGGGAAUUAAAAGCAUAAAGAUUAGAAAGUGGGUCGCAGUUGGACUGCCACUAGUUAGUAUAGGCGGUUGAACCAGCCAUAUAAAACAGAAUGUAAAAACAAGAAUUAAAUGGAUAUGAGACGGCUCGGCCGACUAUUUGAUUGAAUAUAAGAUUUACAAAAAUAAAAGAAAACUUACAAGGAUAUGAAGCUUGUACCAAACUCCUUUGUUUGAUCUAAAAACUAAAAUAUAAAAACUAAGAACUUGCUUGUAGAGAGAGGGAGGAGAGUUUCUUCAAACUAGAGAGAGAAGUGGUCUUGAAGAAAUGGUGUUCGAAUUGUGUGUGGAAUGUGUUGGGUUUGAGGGGUAUUUAUAGCAAAAUUUUCCGUAGUGUUACAGUACCCGCUACAGUGAUUUUGCUACAGUACUGCUAUAGUGUGCUCUACAGUGCAUUGUUUGUCUUUUGUUGCUGUGUUUGCACAGUAACCUGCUGGACUGCUACAGUGCUUCCGGUGCUACAGUGAAAAUGAAUUUUGUUCCGAUUGAGCCAGCUUGAAUAUCUGCUUGUUUUUAGUAGAUUGUCAAGGAUAGCUCUUGUUUUGUUUCCUGAAUCAUUUUGUCAAAUUCAGGUGCUUGUGUUCCCCAUUGGUGCUUGAUCCAAAGUUUGUGAAGAGUUAAUCUCUGAAUUUUUCUUCGCCUCAUGAAGCUUUGGUCCUUCAAGCUGCGAACUGUAUAGUUCGUUGGCUUUGCAACAAUGUUGUCAUGUUGGUACUGAAGAUGUGGAGAAAUGCUCUGUCCAGUUUCAGUGUUGUAAAAUACAACAUUGAAGUAUUUGAUUCUCUCCUCCCUGCAUUGUUGUUUGUAAGAAUAAUAUUCUUUUGCAAUAGAAUUAUUAGUAAGGUAGUGAGGUAUCCAUUCGUUGGCUGGCGCUGAGUUUGUCAUUUUUCCUACAAAACAGAAUUUGUUAGUUUUUUUAGAAAAAGGCAGGAGGGCAUUUGAAUCAAGAAAUUGGGGUAUUAUGCCCUCGUUUGUAGUAAGGUAAGGAAUAAGUUUAUGAAUGAGGGGUAUUCCAAAAAUAACAUUAUUGGAUAAUUUUUUGGCUAGAAGAAAAGUAUUUGGAAUGGAUAAGGAAAAGAACUGGAUUUGCACAUUUGUUAACUUGAAGUUAAUUUCAAGUUUAGAUCCAUUAGCUCCUCUUAGGAUUUCUUGGUUUUGUUCAAAGAAUUGAGGUGGGACAAGGCUUUCAAGAAUACAGUUUUGGUCUGCCCCAGUAUCAAACAGAGCUUCAGUUUCAAUUACGUAAUUGUUGUUAAUCAGUAAUCGGAUCUGGACCAAAUAAUCCUUGUCUUCCUUGGAUUUUUUAGAUAAUUGUUUUAGGAAUUCGGAAUCCUCCUGGUUUAUAGGUUCCUCAAUUGGUGUCAGGUUUUGAAGAACAAGGCUGUUAAGGUCUUGUUUGGCAUUAAUUGAUCUAAUUUCUUCUUUGAGUAGAUCAAUUUCUGUUUGAAGGUGUUGAAGAGCCAAACGUUUAAUAGGUUUGGAGGGAAACCUAUCAAGAAUAUCUGUGAGAUUGUAGGUUUUGAGAAUUCUAGGGUCUCCGGCUAAAGGAUUUGAAGAAUUUGUGGCUCGGUUCAAAUAGAGUUGUCUCUUCUCUAUUUCAGGAGUAUCUUCAAUGAUAUCAAGAAGAAGGUUUUGGUCUUUUGUUAAGAUAUUGAUGGUAGGACUUCUUUCUUCUUUGUCACUGGUGGGAUGAGAGGAAGAAGAUGUUGAAAUAUCAUCUUCUAACUAAUUGAGAUAAUCUUCUUCUCUUUCAGAAUCAUCAAUUUCUGAUUCGAUUAGAAGAUUUGAUAUUUGGGUUCUAACAUGGUCUUCUAAUCCUAAGGUACUGAUCCUUUGGUUGAGUUUACAGUAUUUGGCUAUAUGUCCGGGUUUGUGGCAUUUGUAGUAAACUGGAGAAGAGUUUGUUAUUUGAGGAGGUUGUAUGGGUAAAGGUUGUUUGGGUUGAAAUUUCUUUUUGUAUAAGGAUGGUUUUUCAAGAUGUUUUGUGAUUUUGGGCCGUUUGUGAAGUUUUUUGUAACAAUUGGGUAACCCAAACUAUUCACAAAAGGAUUCAAGGUCUUUUCUCCUUUGCUAGUUGUCUGAGCAUCUUGUCUUGUCUACACACUUUGAGUGCAACUUGUUGAAUCUGACUGGUUAACUGUCCAUAGGUUAUUUCCUCCUGAUAAGUGAAUAUUUAACGUGUAUUUUAUACAAUUUUGGCAUGAACUUUUGGUAUGUUUUAAGAAGAUUAAAGUCAUAUUUGAACUCUAUUGGUGAUAAUUGCUUAAAUAUUGUUUAAGUGUUCAAAACUUGAUAAAUGAGUGGAUUAAUGCGUUAAUUUUGUGAAAUUGUGAAGGAUAUCGAUGUAUGAAAUUCAUGCACGAGCUGAAAGAAGUGUAAGGAUUGUCCAAAGGAUAAAGUACACAAGAAAUUAGGAGCAAAAAUGAAGGAAAAAGGAAAGAAGUGAAAAAUUGAAAAUUUAAUGGCACGGAUCCGAGCUCGGAUCCGUGAGAGCAAAGAGGGAUCCGAACUGUGAGAGCAAAGAGGGAUCCGAACCCUCGUCUGUACUUCUGGAGGAGUGUAUCUGAGAUCAGACGAUCCGACCUUGGAUCUAUCAUGGGAAGUCCUCGGAUCCUGGAGAUCCGAGCUCGGAUCCAUUUUCACCCCUCGGAUCCGAGGCUCGAAUCUGUCUCUUUCUUAAGCAAGUGGCACAGUCAUUUUUCUUUACCUUUCUCACAACUUUUCCAGCUAUUUUAAGGGACAGAAAUCGGUGGCACAUGCUUCUGCAACAAAAGAGAAGACCAAAUGAGUUGUAGAUAAAAGGAAACAUCAUAUCUUUGACUUCUUUUUACAAAAUCUGAGUGGAGGAAAUUAUGAAGUGAGAGGAGUAGACUUUCUACCACUUCUUAUGCAGAGACACCAGGAAGAAGCAGAAAAGGACCAUACGUAGCUAGUUUUCCUUCUUUUAUCUAGUUUCUCUCUAGCUAGGAGUUCUGGGGGAAGUAUUUAAAGUUUUCACUUGUAAUCAUAUUGUGCAAGAGCAUGGCAGGAAUUGGAGAGCUUCACCUUCAAUUGGCUAAGCUUUCUUUUAUCUUUCUUGUACUUGUACUUUAUGAUGUUUGGCAUUAAUAAACUUGUGAGUUUGAUUAUUAAAUCAUUCAUGAGUAGCUAAACUUCUUAAUCUAGGGAGUAGAUGAAACUUAUGGUUAAAUAAUAUGAAUUGAAUGUGAUUUACACUUGUUAUAUCUUGUAUUAACUUGUCUACUUGUGUAACUGUGAUUACUUGUUAUUGAUUGAUCACUAAUAGCAUGUUUAUAGUUGUUAUUGUUCAAUGAGAAUUGGUAGUGGCAAUGGAAAAACAUGAGUAGAGCUUAAGUUGUAUGUUCAUAAAAAUAGAGAUACACUUAAGUGGAUUACUUAGCAUUGCAUGAAAGAAAACAAAGGAGUAUUAGUAUUUCACCAUGAAAAUAGGGAAAACUAAACUAGUUUAGGCCAUUUCAUCAUGAGAAUGAGAUUUGGUAAUUUUGGAAAUGAAUCUCUGGUUAAACAAGAAUAAUAACAGGACGCAAAUCCAUUCAUUUGUGUGUUUAUGCCAUAAGUGGAAUCUACAUCCCUAGAGUCUUUCUUAAGUAAGAAUUCUUUAUUUGCAUUUAGUAUUUGUUAAACUAGAUUUGUAGAUCAGAUUUGUAGAUUAUAGCAAUAAACUUUCUCUGCUCAAAUUUAUUGUAAGUCUAAAUAAUAGAGAAAAAUAAGGGUCUAGUACUUGUUUAAAUUGCUCCUUGUGGGAUCGACCCGAUACAUACCCUACAUUACAGUUUCGGCCUGUAUACUUGCAGCUAACGGGUAUAAAAAUCGGAUUUAAACUUGCAUUGAUAUAAAAAUCCCGUCACCUCCCAUGAUACAGUUUCAUUGUAUUGAGUCCUUAAUUCUUCUCGAACAAGGUCUCGUAAAGAUUUUGGAAGACCAUCAAGGAAUUUUUCUUUCCAAUAGGCCUUGUUGCCAUCUGUCCUGGAGUAUAUCCUAGUUAAGAAUGUAUCUUUGUACCAUCGAAAGUCUGAGAGGCUUUUGUAUUUGAGAUUGUUUAGUAGCUCCGAUGAUUUUUCCCUGAAUAUCCCUGGAUCACCUACAAAUGUUUUUGCAAUAGUGAAUAUUAAUGUUGCCACCGCAUCUGAGAUAGUGUCUUCAUCUCGAAGAAUAGGUUCACCAUUGGUUUCCACUUUAAUUGCAUUGAGAAUGUUGUCUUUGUCUUCCGUGGUAAGAUGUUCAUCCCACCAACCUUUUAGUUGCCCAGUAAAUUCUAUUAUUAGGAUAUGAGUAGCUAAUUGGUCAGUACAACCAUGUGAUGUUCGAUAGGCUAUUGCCACCAUUGUCAUUUGUUGAAGGAUUAUCAAAAUGUUGUAUUCAGAAAUUCCAUCUAUGCUCCAUUCAUAUAUGUUGUUAGCAUUAUAUGAAUUUUGUAAAAUAUUUAAUUUUUCUUCUAGAAGGAUGUCUGGAUAUGUGGCACUGGAAUAGUAUAGUUUUUGUGGAUUUUUUCAGUUGGUAAUCUGGUUUUGUGAAGAAAAAGGUUGAUGUAAUUUGUUUAAGGUUAAAGACUCUUGAGGUUCUCCUUUGGUAAUGGUGCAAGCUGUUUGACUAACACUUGCAGAACCUUGGUUAUUUGACCUUUGUUUGGAUAUUGGGGUAGAAAAUGAUUGUUCUAUUUUGGCUAUUCAUUUUUCUAAUUGGGUUAAGGGUUUGUUUUGAAGUUCUUUCUGAAAUUUGGUUGGUAUUUCAUGAGGUUUGAAAAUUGGGUUUGAUGAAGAAGUGGUUACAGAAGGAAUUUUGGGAAUGGGUUAGGUUAAGAGAUAUUCUCCAAGUGUUUGAAGGUACUUGUUGGUAUAAUUAUUUUGCUCAUAGAUUCCCUGAAUGUCUUUGCCAUUGAUUGCACUUUCAUCCUGGGUACUUUUGAGUUUGAAAGGUUUGGCAUUGAUCUCCGUUGAUUUGUAUGUGAAAGUGAUUGACUUUGGUGGUGGAAGUUGUGCUUGGAUUUCUCCUUCAGCUGUCUGCCACCUUGUUAUCACAUUUGUUGUUUGCGAAAAAGAAUAAUCAAUCCCUUUUCUUUGUGAAUAUACCUCAAACCAAUUGAAGAAUUGAAUGUGUUGUUUUGUUCUUCUAAGAAACCCAUAGAAAUCUUCUUGUAUUUUUUGUCGAUACUGUCCCUUGUACUUGUCAAAGAACCACAUUCUUUUUCAAUAAUUGUUGUCUGCAUAAAAUUCUGUUAUGAUACUUUGUCUAUCCAAAGAAAUCACCCUUAACUCAUCAAGUUGAGAACGACUCUCUGUUAUUGAAGAAUAUGUAGGAGAUCUAGGAAGUCCUUCUUGCUCCACAUCAUCAGAGGAUUCAUCUUGGACCUCUGAAGGAGUAGGUCUGCUAGUUGCAUACCUUGCCUGUGGAAUCUUAGAAGAAAGAUCUAGAUUUUGUAGUCUGGUUGAAAUGGAAGGAGUCAGUGGCCUGUCUGAAACUGAUCUUUUUUCUGUUGAGUAUCUAGGUAUGUCUAUACCAGUUGUUGAAGAAGAUGAUGCCUUGAAACUCAUAGAUCUGUCAAAUUUGAUUUGAACAGCUCCAAAAGCAAAUUGUUGGAUGUUUGAAAUUGUUGUAUUUUGUAUAGGAUCUGCUGGGGCUACUUCAGGAAGAACUCAGCUUUCUGAUAGUGAGAUCUGAUUCCAGGUGAUAGAUCUUGGAACUGUAAUCCGAGAUCUAGCCAAAUCUGUUUGAAAUAAGACUGUUUCUCUUUUUCGUAAUGUUUUUAAAGCCCCUGUUCUAAAAGCUGAAUUCAUAACUUUGUAUUGAAUUCUAUAAAUAAUAGCUACAGGAAGAGUCCCAGUUUUGACUCUAUAGUUAGCAAUUUUUAUGUUUAAUGUUAAAGCAUCUAGAAUAUUUUUGUCUUUUAAAGAGACUGUAAAGUUUGGAAAACAAUCAAAAUAUGUUGGUCCUCCACAAAGGCUAGUUUCUGACAUUUCUAGGAGGGAAUCAUUGAAUUCUAAGAAUAUGUUAUCUCUAAGACAAAGGAGUAGGGAUGUGUCAAAUCCUUCUCUUGUCAGAAGUUUAGCUGCAAUUUGUACUAAUCCAAAAUGAAUACAAUUGUAUUUUUCUUUAUGUUUUUCUAUUGUUCUUUUGGAUAAUAGUUUGAUUUCUUCAUGAUCAGUAUCUAAAGCUAUAGUUUGUUCUACUGUUUUAAUUGUAUAAUCUGAAGUGGAAAACAUCCACUUUCUAUCUCUUUUGUAUAUAUCAGUUUGAGUAUAUUUUGGAAUUUCCCAAUUGUUUAUGUCUUGAUUGACAUAUUGUAUAUGAAUUUCUUCUUUUAGUUUAGUGUUUGAAGAAGAACUAGAAGAGGUAGAAUUGGUUCUAAAAAAGGAAGCCAUAAACAAAGACAACUAAAAAUAAAAUAAGCUUAAAUAAAUGAAUGAACUUUAUAUUCCUCUUCCCUUUGGCACAGAAUCCUUCAGGAUCCAUGGAGAAUAACUAUUUUUCUUAAUCAAAUUAUAAAGGAUAGUGUGAAAAUUUACAAGAAAAGAUUUAAUCUUUUGAAAAAGAUUAACUAUACAUGAUGACCAUAUUUCCAUCAUAAUAAAGAUAAUAAUAAACCUACGAGAAUAGAUCUAAAUCCUCUGAGAAAGAUUAACUAUGCAUGACAACUAUAUUUCCAAACAAAAUCAUAAGAUUGAUAGUUAAAAUCCAUUUUCCCUGGAUCUGAUCUUUUGACACUUCCCCGUCCUGGAGCAUACCACCCCAAGAACCUUAACACCCUUACAGAGCCAAAUCCCCAUGGUCUUACCUGGACCGGAUGCUAGCACUUACUGGUUCCAUGCUCUUUAACCAAAUCCAAAGUCAUGAAAUCAAUACUAUCAAAAUUAUAAAGUGCUUGAAUACAUUAGAUAGUAAUCAUGAAAUUGACCAGUCUCAUCUAAUCAGAUCUAAACUUGUAGAUCUACACUAUCUCUGUAGCAUAAAUAAAGGAAUAUGGUAAUCACGAAGUUAAUAAAUCUCAUUAGAAGGAUAUAAACUUGUGGAUUUACACUAUCAACAUCAUAAUAAGUAAAGAAGGAUAGCCAUCUCCAUUUUCCCCUCUGGCUCUGAUACUAAUAGAUCUAAACUUGUAGAUCUACACUAUCAAUAGCAUAAAUAAAGAAAGAUGGUAAUCACGAAAUUAAUAAAUCUCAUUAGGAAGAUAUAAACUUAUAGAUCUACACUAUCAACAUUAUAAUAAGUAAAGAAAGAUAGCCAUCUCCCCACUUCCCCCUCUGGCUCUAAUACCAAAUGGGACUGGUCAACUUCGUGAUUAUUAUCUAAUGUAUUCAAGUACAUUAUAAUUUUGAUAGUAUUGAUUCAUGACUUUGGAUCUGGUUAAAAGGCAUGGAACCAGUAAAUGCUAGCAUCCGGUCCAGGUAAAACCAUGGGGAUUUGGCUCUGUAGGGGUGUUAAGGUUCUUGGGAUGGUAUGCUCCAGGACGGGGAAGUGUCAAAAGAUCAGAUCCAGGGAAAAUGGAUUUUUACUAUCAACCUUAUGAUUUUGUUUGGAAAUAUAGUCGUCAUACAUAGUUAAUCUUUCUCAAAAGAUUUAGAUCUAUUCUCGUAGGUUUAUUGCUAUCUUUAUUAUGAUGGAAAUAUGGUCAUCAUGUAUAGUUCAUCUUUUUCAAAAAGUUAGAUCUUUUCUUGUAAAUUUUCAGACUAUCCUUUAUAAUCUAAUUAUAAAAAAUGGUUAUCCUCCAUGGAUCUCGAAGGAUUCUGUGCCAAAGGGAAGAGGAUUAUAAGUUGCUUAAAUCAUAAGUUGUUUGAUUAUUUUAUUAUUUUGUUUAUGGCUUCACCAGUUAAAGCAUACUUCAUAUCUUCUGGUUCUUCUUUAAACAACAAACUUUUAAAUGAUCUCCAAACCAGAAUUGCUCGAAUUGAGCAUUCAAUUCUUAUUCAAAGAAAACAAGAAGAUAAAUCUCCUGAAUUCUAGAUUGACAAAGAAAAACUUAUAUCUGAAUUCUAUGCAAACCACAACUAUUUUAAAAGAAAACAAUUUUUUAACAAAUACCAGGGAAAAGCCCGAAAAAAUAUACAAGAAAACUUUUAUGAUUUUUUAGAAAAAACAAAACAGAAUAUUCAUUUCUUUGACUGGUAUGAGUCUCAAACAUCUAAGGUGUCCACACCACAACUCAAAAAUCCAGAUCAAAAUGCUUUAAAACCUGCUUUCACUAAAUCAAAAACUCAGGAUUUUACAUCAGAUCUUGUAGAGCCGGUCCAAACUAAGUUAAAAUCCAUAAAUCUAUCUCAAACAAUCCAUAUACCAGAAACCUCUCAUAAAUCCAUAAACCCAGCAGAUAUAGAUCUACCAGAUUCUCCUAAAGAAUUAUCAAACCUCUUGUCUAUUGAAAUUGCAAAACUUUUAUCCAAUCAACCAAUAGAAAAUUUUGAUCUUGAUAUUAAAAAAGAUAUAGGAAAAUCCUUAGACAUAGAAUAUUUCUCAAUAAAAGUUUUAACUAAAAUUCAAACUAGUUUCAAACUUGUUACUAUUAAAGAUCUUCAAACAGAAAAUACCUCUCUCAAUAGGAAAGUUAAAACAAUUGAGAAAAUAGUCCAAUCAACUACUAAAGAAGAUCCUUCUCAAUCAAAUAUAAUAUUUUACAAAAAAUAUUUUACUCUUAUAAGACUAGUUAUUAGUGACAAUAUAAUUGCAAAAACAGAAGGUUUAUUUGACACAGGAGCUGAUCUCAGUUGUAUUCAAGAAAGUCUUAUUCCAACAAGGUUUUUCGAAAAAACAAAAGAAAGCCUUAGAGGAGCCAAUGGUUCCCAAUUAAACAUUCAGUUUAAACUUUCAAAUAUUCAAGUUCAAUUUUCCUCUGCUUCCAUUAAAGAAACAUUUCUCUUGGCCAAAGACCUAACUAACAAUGUGAUUCUUGGAACAACUUUUGUUACCAAACUUAUUCCUUAUUUGACUACUGAGGAAGGUAUCAUACCCCAAAAAUAUGGGCAAAAUGCUCUCUUACCCUUCUCCAGAAAAACAAUUCAAAAAACAUAAAUUAUCUAUCUCUCAAACAUAGCCAAAUCAAUUUCUUAAAAGAAGAAAUUGCCUAUAAAAGGAUAGAUGAACUGCUCAAGAAACCAGAAAUCCAGCAAAAAAUUCAGAAUUUACAAACAAAAAUCCAAGGGAUAGUUUGUGUAGAAGUUCCACAUGCAUUUUGGGCAAGAAAACAGCAUACUGUCCAUCUUCCUUAUGAACCUGACUUUGAGGAAAAGGAUAUUCCAACAAAAGCCAAACCUAUACAGAUGAAUCAGGAGCUACUCCAACAUUACCAGAAGGAGAUUAAUGACCUCCUAUCCAAACGCAUUAUUAGUCCAAGUCAAUAUCCAUGGAGCUGUCCAGCGUCCUAUGUUAACAAACAAUCAGAGAUUAAAAGAGGAGUUUCUAGGCUUGUAAUGUGAGAACCAGUAAAUUUCUCAAUUUCUAGGCCUUAUUUUAUUUAUUUGCACAUCUUUUCCGCAUUUUCUUUAGUAGAAAAAUUUUCUAAAUAAUUUUUAUGGGUAAAUAUAGUUUUUAGACGAUUUUUCUAGUACCGGUUAGUUUUUAAGAAAUUAAGAGCGUAUACCGGACGUGGGACCCGCUAGCGCGAAAAGUUCGAAAAAAUUCGGCCAGUUAGGUUAAGUUUUGAAUAUCGGGUUUAUUUUAGCAGGUGUUAAGAGAUAACUAGAGGUUACUAAAUGGAUUAGUGUGAGAGGAAGAAAGAGAUAGCCAUGCAUUAAAUGGAGUGACAAGUGUCAUUUGGUGAUUAAUUCUUACAUUUUGACCACUAUUCACCAUUUUACCAAAUAAACCAAAAAUUGACCAAAAAUCUCUUCAUUUCAAGCUUCUCAUAGCCGGCCCUCUCUAGGAAGAAAAGAAAAGAAAAGCUCUCCAAUUUCUUGCUUCAAUCUUGCUCAAUUCAACAAACCAACCGAUUAAUCUUGUAUUUGUUCCAUAAAAAUCCUUAGGUUAGUGAUUGUGAGGUGAUUAGUGAAGUGAUUUGGAAGGAUAAGGUGCUAAGUGAUCUCUUUUCCUUGGUUGAUAAGGUGAGUAGUUCAGGAACCUCUUUUUUCUAUCUAAUGAUGCUUAAUUAGUGGCUUGUGGUAGCCUAAGAGGUGAUUUUGUGGGUUAUAUCAUGAUUUUGUUGAGAUUGGUGAAUUUUUCUAUUUAUUCCAUGAAUUUUUCUGUUUUAUAUGUGUAAUAUGGUGUGGCCAUGGAUGAUGGUUGAAAAUGGUUUAGAAUGAAGCCUUAGUGCGUAAAUUGUGGCUAUUUGCGGAAAAAUUUCUGCUUUGAAAGGAAAUUUCGGAAUUAGGGUUUCAAUUAACCACAUUCUGCCCGGUACUGUUUCCCUUAGUUAGAGGCUGAAUUAGCCUUGGGUUAAAACAUGAAAUUGUAGAGAAUAGUAUUUUAUAGUUGUCUGCAAAAUUUCAGACCAAUCAGAGCAACGUAGCCUAUGAUAACACUGAAAUACGCGUGCUGCCCUGUUUCUGUCCGAACCUGGUGAUCAGCUUUGGUAAUUGGUUAAUUUGAUUGGGAAUACUACUAAUUUGGUUGUUGAUAUCUUCUUAAGAAAUAUAGCCUGGUAUCUUAGCUUUCGGAUGGCUUUGAAAUCACUUGAAUUGGACUUCGGUAGCCUAAAUUAGGGUUAUUUAACCAGAAUGCGGUUCAUUAACCUGUUUAUACGGUUCUGGUUUAGUACAUUGAAUUUUGACUUAGUUGCACUACAAACUGGACUGAGUGGCCUUCUUCAACAUUGUAGCCCUUUCUGUUAGUUUCAAAAUGGUGUAUAUUGUACUCCCAUCCGAUAAUCGUAGCGCCAGUUGUGUCUAAUACGCUAAAUGACGUCAAAACUGUUUUUGGGUUUUAGAGCUAAACUUUCAUUUCCGGACUUUCUCUAGUUUACUCUAGCACUUAUAGUUCUAAUGGAACCUUAUUCUUGGUAGUAUGUGGAAUUGGUUUAUGACUUGUAAUAUAGUCUUAUUGUGCUUGUUUGAACAUUUUAGGGCGUGACGGUGAUUCAAGACGCUCUUUGGGCAGAAGUGUAUGAAAUUUCACUUGCUUGCUUGGUGAGUGUACUACUCACUUGCUUGUUACUAUGUGGAUUUGUUACAUUUGAACUUGAUAUCUUGAAUGCUUAUUUGCACCAUUGAAACUGAUUAAAGUGAGGGUGUACUUGAUCGCCUUCACCCCUUUUGUAUUAUAUAUGACUGUCUACUGUGGUACUUGAAUGGUACAUGAAAUACUGGAUUUGGUGUCGUUUGGACGAGUAUCCAACGGCCAUUACUAUCACUACUGAGUUCAACCCCAUUGGUAGUCGAUUGAAUCGAGCCAACGAGAGAUUGGUCGUGAAAAUUGACGAGCCAUGGGGACUGUUAUAUGGAAUCUUAUAGUAUGAGACUCUCGAUUCCGGUAUACUCGAGUAUUACCAAUUUUAUACUGAAUGGAGUUUGGACCCAGUAGGGGUAUGUUGGGUGGAAGGAAUGGAAGUAAAGUGAAGCCUACGGUUGGUUAUAUUGUAAUAAAGUCCGAUUAAGUAUACAAGCGAGGAAAGGGGCUUUUGAGAGCCGUCCGUAUCCUUUUAUCAAUUCUAUGGAUAUGUGCCCUUGGUUCACUUCCUACUAGAUGAAUUGGAAUGAAAUACUAUAUGCUUAUAUGAACUUCGUUGCUUGAAGUGGUAGUAUAUCACUGGGCGUAAUCUCACUCUAUCCCUUUUGUUUUCCUUACAGGAAUUUGAAUACUUUUGGAAUGGCUUUGAUAGUUGGUUGCCGAGUUGAGCUAGUUGAGAAUACAUUUUGUAUAGCUCCUCAAUGCAUGAAACCUUAGAUGUAUUUUGAUCCGUUCCCUCUUUUGAAUUGUAAGAUUGAACCCGUACAUGUGUACAUGAGUUUGGUAACUUUGGUAUGCUGUUUUGGCUUGUAAAUGCUAAAUUUCAAGGUGUAUAUGUUUGAUUGAUGUAUGGUUGGAUUUCGAACAGAUUCGAAUUUCAAACGGCGAAAGGAAAAAUUUUGGCGGGAAAGAACAGGGUCGAAUCCGACCAAGAAUCCGGCCAGAAACUGGCUUGAUUGGCAGCCGGAUUGACCUAAGAAUUUUUGGAAAUCCGGCUUUGCUCUCUGGCCAGUAUCCGGCCAAGAAUCCGGCCGGAAGACGUGUCAGUUACUAUUCAUGUUCGGCUCCGAUUUUCAUUUUUUUAUUUUUAUGAUUUUGACUUGUUUAAGCACACUUGUAUGUUCCGGAAUGUUUUAGCUCACUUUGAACUAUCUCGUUAGUUCUAGCGAGAGUUGGGCAGGCAGUCCGCUAACCCCUUUGGUUCGCCUUAGAGGAAGGUGGGGCUGUCACAGGUGGUAUCAGAGCCUAGGUUUGAAUUGGUUUGGGCGUGUUAGAAAUGCUCGACUUGAGGAUUAUUUUGAUUGUGUCCCUUAAGGUUAUUUAUGAUUAUUUACUCUUUUGGUAUAGGAUGGACGGGCAUAGUGGGCCUAGUGGUAGCCCUACUGGUGAGCGACCGCAUGGGGUGCUUCCGAUGAUUAAGUACCAGAUCCGGCCAAGAGGGGCUGUCGUGCAUUGGAGUUCGGCGAACCGCCUCCGACGUUAUGAGUGUCGUCACACUUACGCCUACCCUAACAUCUUAGUGUUGGCCGUGGCAGAGGAACAGAAGGAGUUGGCAAAAGAUAACGCUAGGCUCGAGGCCGAGGUAAACCAACUGAGGGCGGCCAACGAGAAACAAGCCAAGCGAAUCAAGGAUUUAGAGUACGAUGUGAUCGAGUGUGAAGAUAGGCUGGACGACCUCUGCGCUCAGUUUAGAGAGGCACGCGAGCGUAUGACUACGCGAGCUCAGAAGGUUAGGGUUCGAGCCGAGUCGAUCCUGAACCUCUGCGACGACUUGGUCGAGGAGGAAAGCAACAGGGCAUCGUGCACAGGGGCCGGGGCAGGAGGUGAACCCACCUCGUCGGGUGGAUCCAUUAGCCCAACUACGGAUUAGGUCGUACUUUUGGGGGGCCUUUUGGAGGUUUUUGACUAUUGUAUAUAGGAUGGAUAGGGAUGGAUAGACCUGGGAAAGAGCGUUAGCUAGCCGUUGUGUACGUUUGGACUAGCAAUGUGUAUAUUACUUUUGGUGAUGCCUUUCCCUUGUGGACUGUUUUGUUGUACCUGACUUGACUGCUUGAUGUUAUGUGCUUUGUUUUACUUGUUUGGAAUGUAUAUAUAUGCUUUGUUAUUAAAGUUUUGGGUUCUUAUUUGCUGGUAUGGUUACUUAUUGCUCUAGUUACGUUUGCCUAAAUUAAUAGAUUUCAUGGAAAGCACACGUAGUGGACGGGGACAUGGGCGUGGGAGUAGGUAACCUACGUCGGACCGGGGUGCUGGGGAAACCUCAUCGGGACCUAAUUCUGAACCGAGGGUUGACCCCAACGUGCAAAUAGUUGACGCUAUGCAGCAAAUGACCAACCUGCUGACACAAGUGGUGCAGCAACAGGGCCAAAGCCCGAACCCUAAUCCUGGAAAUCCUGGCAACCACGUCGGGAGCGAGGACAGAGCUCUCGAAAGAUUCCAAAAGUUUGCUCCACCCAAGUUUAUUGGGGGGUCCGAUCCGGAUAUAGCCGAAAGAUAGCUCGAGAAGAUGGUGGAUAUUUUUGCGGCCCUGCACUACACCGAAGAAAGGCAUGUGACUUUUGCUGUCUUUCAGCUAGAAGGGGUGGCCCAUUCCUGGUGGAAUGUUAUUCGGCAAAAAUGGAAACGGGAACAAAUGCCCAGGAUUUGGAUGAACUUUAUGCGGGAGUUCAACGCGAAAUUCUUCCCUCCUCUAGUCCAGGAACGGAAGGAAGAUGAGUUUAUCCGACUCCGCCAAGGGGCCCAGUCGGUAGCGGAGUACGAGAGUUAGUUGACCCGCCUAUCCAAAUUUGCUCCUGAGCUGAUCAUGACCGAACAACGUGAAAUAAGGCGCUUUAUCCAGGGUCUGAACGUAGAAAUCCAGAAGGAUCUCGUGGUGGCCCAGAUUAAUGCUUUUAGCGAGGCCGUGGAGAAGGCCCAACGGGUAGAGAGCGCUAGGGUUCAAGUACGGAACUUCCAGGCAAAGAAGCGAGACUUACCUGAAAGCAAUUCCGGGCAAGGAGAUAAAGGUACCCCCUCCAAGUUCGGACGGGGAGCUGGAGGUGGUUGAUAGUCGGGUUUCAGCCGAGGGGCUCAGUCCAGGGGUGGCUCAGCCGGGAGAGGCCAGGGCGGGAACUUCCAGAAGGGUUCAGGUUCGGCGUCCUGUGGGCCUUGUGGGUACUGCGGCAAGCCGAAUCACUCCGAGGAUAAUUGCUGGAAGAAGGAGGGCAAAUGUCUGUGCUGCAGAAGUGUAGACCACCGACUUGCCACCUGCCCAGUCCUAAAGCAAGACGAAAAGGGAGCCCAACGAGCGCCAAAGACUAAUGCGGGACCAGUUAAGGGAGACGAGACAAAACCCAAGGUACCAGCUCGAGUGUACUCGUUAGAGUCCCAACAGGCCCCAGAUUCCUCUGAGGUCGUAGAAGGUACGAUCCUUAUCUUCCACCGCUUUGCCAAAGUUUUAAUAGAUCCUAGUGUCACUCAUUCCUUCGUUAACCCUAAUUUCAUGUGUGGCAUUGAUAUAAAACCUGCUAGUUUACCAUACGACCUAGAAGUUAGUACACCUACGGGGAAUCAACGUUUGGUUACUAGUGUGGUUUAUAAGGAUUGUGAAGUGUGGGUAGGAGAGAAGAGAUUGUUAGGAGAUUUGAUAAGUCUGUCCAUCAUGGGGUAUGAUGUGAUUCUGGGCAUGGACUGGCUAGUUAGGUAUAAUGCCCAACUAGACUGUAAAAUGAAGGUGGUAGAGUUCCGCAUUCCGGGGGAGGCGACGCUACGGUUAGAUAUAAGGGGAAGAUUAGCCUCAUCUGUCCUGAUCUCGGACAUUCGGGUUAGGAAACUGUUAAAUCGAGAGGUGCAAGGAUUUUUAGCCUUUCUAAUCAACACCCCCACGGAUAAGUUAAAGGUAGAAGACAUACCCAUAGUAAGGGAAUACCCGAAUGUAUUUCCCGACGAGCUAGUAUCUUUGUCUCCGGAGAGGGAGAUAGAAUUCAAAAUCGACCUGUUACCUGGAACCUCGUCUAUCUCAAAAAUCCCAUACCGAAUGGCCCCUGCGGAGCUCAAGGAGUUAAAAUUGCAAUUACAAGACCUUCUGGAGCGGAGGUUCAUUCAAGAGAGUGGGUCUCUUUGGGGAGCUCCUGUCCUGUUUGUAAAGAAAAAGGACGAUAGUUUGAGAAUGUGUAUUGAUUACCGGGGUCUGAACAACGUUACAGUUAAGAAUAAGUACCCACUGCCCCAUAUUGACGAGUUGUUCGACCAGUUACAAGGAGCGGUGGUCUUCUCGAAAUUGGACCUCCGCCAGGGGUAUUACUAGUUAUUGAUUAGAAAAGAGGAUAUUCCAAAAACCGCUUUCAAUUCGAGAUAUGGGCAUUACGAGUUCGCAGUUAUGCCCUUUGGAUUAACCAAUGCUCCUGCCGCCUUUAUGGACUUAAUGCAUAGGGUUUUUAAACCCUACUUGAAUUGAUUUGUCGUGGUCUUCAUCGACGACAUUUUGGUUUAUUCGAAGACGCAGGAGGAGCACGAACAAUACUUGAGGAUCGUUUUACAAACCCUAAGAAACCAUCAACUGUACGCCAAGUUCAGCAAGUGCGAAUUUUGGCUGGAGAAAAUUUCUUUUCUAGGGCACGUAAUUUCUCAAGAGGGUAUCUCAGUAGACCCGGCGAAAGUAGAGGCCAUGACUAAUUGAAAGAGGUCAGAAAACCCAUCGAGAUUCGUAGCUUUCUAGGUUUAGCGGGAUAUUACCGGCGUUUCAUUAAAGAUUUUUCUAAGUUGGCCGGUUCUUUAACUGACUUGACGAAGAAGCAUGGUCGAUUUGUGUGGAAUGUCAAAUGUGAUGUGAGCUUUCAGGAGUUAAAGAAAAGGUUGACUAUGGCACCAGUUUUAGUCUUGCCUAACGGGGUUGAUGGAUUUGUCGUUUACACUGAUGCGUCACGAGAAGGCUUAGGGUGUGUACUGAUACAGAAUCGAAAUAUGAUAUUUUUUGCCUCUAGGAAGUUAAAAUCCCAUGAGCAAAACUACCCAACCCAUGAUUUGAAGUUAGCCGCGGUUGUUUUCGCUCUGAAAAAAUGGAGGCACUACCUAUAUGGGGUAACGUUCGAGGUGUAUUCCGAUCAUAAGAGGCUCAGGUACCUUUUCUCUCAAAAGGAAUUGAAUAUGAGACAGUGAAGGUGGAUGGAGUUUUUGGAGGAUUACGACUGUACCAUCAACUACCAUCCGGGGAAGGCGAACGUAGUGGCCGAUGCCUUAAGUCGCAAGGCUCAGGUAGCAGGGCUGAUGAUCAAGGAAUGGGAUUUGUUGGAAUCCGUUUGCGAGUGAAAACCCUGCCUUGGGAGUCAUAAGGUGAUUUUCGAUAAUAUUAGGGUAACCUCCACCCUACUGGAGCGGAUUAAAGAAGCUCAAAAGGGGGAUCCAAUGGUGCGAAAAUGGGGAGAGAAGGUGGAAAAAGGGGAAACGACUGAUUUCAACUUUAAUACUGAAGGUAUUUUAAAAUACCGGAACCGAAUAGUGGUGCCGAAAGAUGAAGCGUUGAAAACGGAGAUCUUAGAGGAGACCCAUCGAUCCAAGUAUACGAUCCAUCCGGGUAGUAGUAAGAUGUACCAAGACCUAAAAGGAGCCUAUUGGUAGGAUAAUAUGAAGAAGGAAAUCGUCCUGUAUGUACAGAAAUGUCUCGUUUACCAACAAGUUAAGGCGGAGCACCAAAAACCAUCAGGUUUACUACAACUCCUUGAGAUACCCGAAUGGAAAUAGGAGAACAUCACCAUGAAUUUCGUUUUAGGGUUGCUGCGGACGCAAAGAGGGCACGAUGCCGUUUGGGUGAUCGUUGAUCGAUUAACCAAGUCGACCCAUUUCUUGCCGAUAAACAUGAAGUAUUCCAUGGACAAGUUGGCUCAGAUGUAGCUGGACGAGAUCGUGAGACUACACGGCGUUCCGGUCAGCAUCGUUUCCGAUAGAGAUCCUCGUUUCAUAUCUAGGUUUUGGCAGAAAUUUUAAGAAACUCUAGGGACUAAACUCAACUUGAGCACCACCUAUCACUCUCAGACGGAUGGGCAAUCGGAGUGCACAAUUCAAACUCUUGAGAACAUGUUAAGGACCUACAUUCUGGAUUUUGGAGGUAAUUGGCGUCAACACAUGACCUUAGUGGAGUUUGCGUACAAUUAUAGCUAUCAUUCAUCGAUUCAAAUGGCUCCAUACGAGGCACUAUAUGGGCGAAAGUGCCGGUCACCGAUCUAUUGGGACGAAGUUGGCGAGAGGAAAGCACUGGAUCCAACAACUAUUCUAUGGAUGGAAAAAGCUCGAGAAAAAGUUAAAUUGGUACGACAACGACUCCAAACAGCUCAAAAUCGAUAAAAGAGUUACGCGGAUAAUCGAAGAAAAGAUUUGGAGUUCGAAGUUGGAGACCAUGUGUUUCUUAAAGUUACACCGUUACAGAGUGUCACGGCAGGUAGAGGAAAGAAGCUCCAACCUAGGUUUGUUGGACCUUACAAGAUUCUCCAAAGGGUUGGUAAGGUAGCGUAUCGCCUGGAACUACCGUCCAGUCUUUCUCGAAUUCACGACGUCUUCCACGUCUCGAUGCUUAAGAGGUACUAUCCCGACCCAUCCCAUAUCUUACAGUCAGAGGAAAUCGACAUAGAUGAAUCGCUCGCUUACAAAGAGAAACCUGUUCAAUUGCUUGACCGGAAAGUUAAAAAGUUGAGAAACAAGCAGAUUCCGUUGGUUAAGAUACUGUGGAAAAACCAUGGGGUAGAGAAAGUUACCUGGGAGGUGGAAGAAGAGAUGCAAAAGAAAUAUCCAGAACUAUUCGUGAAUCAAGGUGAGAAAUUUCGAGGACGAAAUUCUUUUAAGGGGGAGAGAGUGUGAGAACCCAUAAAUUUCUCAUUUUCUAGGCUUUAUUUUAUUUAUUUGCACGUCUUUUCCGUAUUUUCUUUAGUAGGAAAAUUUACUAAAUAAUUUUUAUGGGUAAAUAUAAUUUUUAGAUGAUUUUUCUACUACCAGUUAGUUUUUGAGAAAUUAAGAGCGUAUACUGGACGUGGGACCCGCUAGCGCGAAAAGUUCGAAAAAAUUCCGCCAGUUAGGUUAAGUUUUGGAUAUCGGGUUUAUUUUAGCAGGUGAUAAGAGAUAACUAGAGGUUACUAAAUGGAUUAGUGUGAGAGGAACAAAGAGAUAGCCAUGCAUUAAAUGGAGUGACAAGUGUCACUUGGUGAUUAAUUCUUACAUUUUGACCACUAUUCACCAUUUUACCAAAUAAACCAAAAAUCUCUUCAUUUCAAGCUUCUCAUAGCCGGCCCUCUCUAGGAAGAAAAGAAAAGAAAAGCUCUCCAAUUUCUUACUUCAAUCUUGCUCAAUUCAACAAACCAACCGAUUAAUCUUGUAUUUGUUCCAUAAAAACCCUUAAGUUAGUGAUUGUGAGGUGAUUAGUGAAGUGGUUUGGAAGGCUAAGGUGCUAAGUGGUCUCUUUUCCUUGGUUGAUAAGGUGAGUAGUUAAGGAACCUCUCUUUUCUAUCUAAUGAUGCUUAAUUAGUAGCUUGUGGUAGCCUAAGAGGUGAUUUUGUGGGUUAUAUCAUGAUUCUGUUGAGAUUGGUGAAUUUUUCUAUUUAUUCCAUGAAUUUUUCUGUUUUAUAUGUGUAAUAUGGUGUGGCCAUGGAUGAUGGUUGGAAAUGGUUUAGAUAUAUGUCCUUGGUUUACUUCCUACUAGAUGAAUUGGAAUGAAAUACUAUAUACUUAUAUGAACUUCGUUGCUUGAAGUGGUAGUAUAUCACUGGGCGUAAGCUCACUCUAUCCCUUUUGUUUUCCUUAUAGGAAUUUGAAUACUUUUGGAAUGUCUUUGAUAGUUGGUUGCCGAGUUGAGCUAAUUGAGAAUACAUUUUGUAUAGCUCCUCAGUGCAUGAAACCUUAGAUGUAUUUUGAUCUGUUCCCUCUUUUGAAUUGUAAGAUUGAACCCGUACAUGUGUACAUGAGUUUGGUAACUUUGGUAUGCUAUUUUGACAUGUAAAUGCUAAAUUUCAAGGUGUAUAUGUUUGAUUGAUGUAUGGUUGGAUUUCGGACAGAUUCGGAUUUCAAAUGGCGAAAGGAAAAAUUUUGGCGGAAAAGAACAGGGUCGAAUCCGGCCAGAAACUGGCCGGAUUGGCGGCCGGAUUGAUCUGAGAAUUUUUGGAAAUCCGGCUUUGCUCUCUGGCCAGUAUCCGUCCAGGAAUCCGGCCGGAUUCUGACGUGUUAGUUACUAUUCAUGUUCGGCUCCAAUUUUCAUUUUUUUUAUUUUUAUGAUUUGACUUGUUAAAGUACGCUUGUAUGUUCCGGAACGUUUUAGCUCGCUUUGAACUAUCUCGUUAGUCCUGACGAGAGUUGGGCAGGCAGUCCGUUAACCCCUUUGGUUCGCCUUAGGGGAAGGUGGGGCUGUCACAUGUAAUCAAUUACAAAGCCUUAAACAAAGCUCUUCGAUGGAUCAGAUAUCCCAUACCUAACAAGAAGGAUCUACUUCAAAGGCUUUAUUCUGCCAAAAUAUUCUCAAAAUUUGAUAUGAAGUCGGGAUUUUGGCAAAUUCAGAUUCUUGUCUCAGACAGAUACAAAACAGCAUUCACAGUACCAUUUGGGCAUUACGAAUGGAACUUAAUACCAUUUGGACUUAAAAAUGCUCCUUCUGAAUUCCAAAGAAUUAUGAAUGAGAUAUUCAGUCCUUAUUCCUCAUUCAUCAUUGUCUACAUUGAUGAUGUUCUAGUUUUCUCAAAAAAUAUUGAACAACAUUUCAAACACCUAAAUACCUUUCUUCAUAUCACCCAGAAAAAUGACCUUGUUGUCUCUCAAAAGAAAAUUAGCCUCUUUCAAACCAAAAUUAGGUUUCUUGAACACCAUAUUCACCAAGGAACUAUUACCCCUAUAAAUAGAUCAAUUCAGUUUGCUAAUAAAUUUCCUGACCAAAUUUUUGACAAACAACAACUUCAAAGAUUUUUGGGUUGUCUAAACUAUGUAUCAGAUUUCAUACCAAAUAUUAGUAAUUUAGCUAAACCAUUAUAUGACAGAUUAAAAACUACUCCACCCUUAUGGACUGAUAUUCAUACUAAGACAGUUAGAAAAAUCAAAACUGAAUUCAAAGCCAUUCCCUGUCUUGUUCUUCCAGAUCCAACAGCUCAAAAGGUUAUGGAAACGGAUGCUUCAGAUUUAGGAUAUGGUGGUAUUCUUAAACAGACAAAAAAUAAUAAAGAACAAAUAAUUGCUUUUGCUUCUAAAAAUUGGAACAAUUCGCAGCAAAAUUAUUCUACUAUCAAAAAAGAAAUUUUAGCAAUAGUUUUAUGUAUUACAAAAUUCCAAACUGAAUUACUAAAUUAGAAGUUUUUACUUCGGGUUGAUUGUAAAUAAGCUAAAGAUGUUUUACAAAAAGAUGUUAAAAAUCUUGCCUCUAAACAAAUCUUUGCAAGAUGGCAAGCAAUUUUAUCAAUUUUUGAUUUUGACAUUGAAUACAUUAAAGGGUCUUCGAAUUCUGUUCCUGAUUAUCUAACUCGAGAAUUCUUGCAGAGAAGAUAAGAUGCCCAAGAAAAAGAAACAACAGGAGAAAUCCUCAGAUAAACCAGAUCCCUCUUCUCAAACAACCAAACAAGACUCUUCGAGUUCUUCCAGUUCAUCCCAAACAGAAAAGAAGUUAUCUUCUUCAAACUUAACUCCAAACAGGUUUCAAACUCUUUCUUCUCCUCAACCCAUAUCUAUAGCCUCUCUUAAAACAUGGGUUGAUAUAGCCAAAGAAGAAGAUGAAAAACAAUUAUGCUUUGAACACCUCAAACAAUGGGUUGAAUCACAUGGAUACCAACCUGAAUCACCAGGAUACCCUAUUUGGGAUACACCAAAUCAUCUCAAAAUAGUUUUGGCUCAAAAUUUCAAACCAAAACCUCUUGUUAUUCAAGAACAAAAACCCAAAUCACUUACUAUCCAAGAACCCAAAACCCUAGUUAACCUUGAACCAAAACCAAACAAAGUUUCUUGCCCCUAUAUCAAAUCAAGUACCCAUAUUCCUGUGGUUCAAACUGAACUUGAUUGUUGGCAUAAUGAUCCAAACCUCCUGGCCCAAGCUAUUUUGCCAGAUACUUACAAUUUUAUACCUCAAACUCUUACCAAGACACUUGAGUAUUACAAACUUAUUCUCACGGAUUCAAAGUCUCUAAUCCUUAAACCUCACAAUACAGAAAUGAGAGAAAAGAACGGAAAUCCUACUGGAAAAUACAUCAAUACUCAUUCUAGUUCCCAGAUUCUAAAGGUUAUUAAGCCAUUAGAAUGGGGAACAAACCUAAGUAAACCCAAACCUUUUACUACUUCCCUUAAUCCCCCAAGAUAUACAUAUUAGGAUUAUAAGGCAGCCUGGUUCUAUACAUUUACCUUUCAAAAUGAACUAAACCAACAUUCUUAUCUUUUCUAUUUUUUGAAAACAAACAAAUAUGAAUUCCCAACAUGGUUUGUAGCAUGGUGGAAAGCAAUUGGACUUAAUCUGGAAAUUCUUCCUCCAGAUAUCCGACAAAGCUACAACCAUUUGAAAAAAGAUUUGAACCUCCAAACAACUAUAUACCAAUCAACCUGCACUUCUUUUCCAUAUUCUCGGUAGCAUGGGUCUACCAGUGAAAAUAUGAGUAUAUACAGCAAACACAAAUCACUGAUAAACAAAAGUUGUCAAGCAACUCAAAGAUAUACUUCAGCAACUGGAUCAAUCAAAAGAGACUUCAAACAAAGAAGAGGCCUCCAAUUCCGGAACAAAACUUGAGGAAUACGAAGGUCUAGAAAAUGAAGAUGAUUGUUAUGGAAUUUUCUCACAAAUUUCAUAAAAAUCCCAAAGACAAACAAAAUACUUCUACUGUAGCAGUCUGGCAAGUUACGGUGCAAACACGGCAACAAAAGACAAACAAUGCACUGUAGCACUAUGAAACAUUUUGCUAUAAAUACCCCUCAAACCCAACACAUUCCACACACAAUUCCAACACCAUUUCUUCAAGACCACUUCUCUCUCUAGUUUGAAGAACCUCUCCUCCCUCUCUCUACAAACAAGUUCUUAGUUUUUAUAUUUUAGUUUUUAGAUCAAACAAAGGAGCUUGGUACAAGCUUCAUAUCCUUGUAAGUUUUCUUUUAUUUUUGUAAUUCUUAUAUUCAAUCAAAUGGUCGGUUGAGCCGCCUCAUAUCCAUUUAAUUCUUGUUUUUACAUUCUGUCUUUACAUUCUGUUAUACAUGACUGGUUCAACCACCUAUACUAACUAGUGGCAGUCCGACUGCGACCCACUUCUUAAUCUUUAUGCUUUCAAUUCCCUCUGCUUUCCUUUCUUUCCUGGUUUAAGGGGCUAACCCCUCGUCCUGUCUGGUAUCAUUUUAAACAAAAUAUUUAUAUUUAUAUAUAAAUAUAUAAUAUUUAUUGCAAUUGAUAUAAUAUAUAUAAUAUACAUAAUUAAAAUAUACAUAUUAAUAUUAGUAUAAUUUAUAUAUAAAAAAUAAUAUACAUAAUUGAAAUAUACAAAUUGAAAUAUACACAUUAAUAUACAUAUUAUAAAAACCAAAAUGAAAUAAAAAAUAUUAUAUAUAAAUAAAUGUAUAUAUAUAUUAUAAAAUGAAAUUGAAAUCGAAAUCGAAAAAUCUGAUUUCUAUUUUCGAUUUCAAAAACUCCAUUACCGAAUUCGAACCAAAUUCGCAUAAUUCGAAAUAAAAAAUUCUGAAUAAAUAUGUAAAAUUGGAGUUGUUUUUGAUAUAUUGUUUGGAUAUAGUGUUUUUGGAGUUAUUUUUGUUUAUGUAUUACUGUAGCAUUGUAGAUGAAAAAUUUUUUUUCAAAAAAUGCUGAAUCCAAACAGAGCCCAUGUAUUUUUCUUUUUUCUUUUUGUCAGCAGUUAAUCAAGAGGGGAAUCUAAAUAGAAUUUUUCCUAAAUUUUUAAGUAAUUGCAAACAUAGUUACACGAAAAAACCUCGUCAUUACACGGUCACAUAGCCGAGAUUCAAGAAAUAGUGUAAACAUGAGUACACAUCCUGAAUCGUUCGAGGUGUUAAACAAAUUUCAAUCCCAAAGGCACAUGAUUGCUAGCAGCAGCGGUGUACAACAUGAUCCCUUACGUGCUGGUCAAACUGAACCGCAACCACUACCCCUACCCUAUAUUCAAACCUCUUUUACUCCAUAUUUCGUAAAUCCACCUGAGGAAGCUUUCAUACAUCCCACUUAUGGCCUACCACAUACCUAUAUAUCUAAUAUCCACAUCAAUUCUCCUCACACUCAAGCUCCUCAAAAAAUUAUCCACUUGUUGGACCAUUGAGAUCCCUCCCUCUUGAAGGAAAGUUUCGAUAAAUUUAGGGAAUUGUUUUGGCUAAAAUCAAUGAAAAAUCAUUCAUACGUGUGUCUUUUGUUUUAUUAUAUUUUUUGUAAAUAGUUUUCAUUCAAGUGGCUUUUGAAGACACGUUUCGUUUAGCAAGUAACAUGAUAUUAAGUUUGAUUUUUCUUGAAAUGCAAUAAAAUGUACAGUUUUUUAUAUACUGUGUUACUUACACAUUCUUUUCAGAUGGCCCAUAAUAAAAUCUCCCGACCCUUUGGAUAUUACCAUUUCGGAAUUUGAUGGCUGUAAUCUCGAUACCGCAUGAAUGUAAGAAUAGCGAGAAGGUAUCCGAACAUACUUCAAAGAGAUUCGAGGGAGGAACUCAAACGAAUAGGGAUCAAGAUGAAGGAAAUAAAAUUAGUAGUCACUUGAAUAAAAAGCAGAAAAAGGAGGCUGAUGGAAAGUAGUGUCAAGAACAAUAAUCUUUAUUUGACAAGAAGCAACCAAAUGCAAUCAAAAGGAGCGAUCCCGUGCUUACAAUAAAAGGGUCAAAUCGUAACUACUCAAAAAAGAGACAAAAUGUUGAGGUAACUGUUGUCGGUGCAAGAUUGGAAAGGGUUUGUUGUUAAAAAAAAGAGGAAAAGAAAAGAAAAAUGAAGAGUAUUGCCCGGCGGAUCACUUAUGUUUCACAGAUAUGAAUAAACAUGAGUCUUCCUCAAUCAAUUAAUUCAGAUACAUGCAAGAAAUUUCGCAUUAAUGGAAGUUUCCUUUCAGAGUUAAUGUAAGGAACAAAAUAAAAGUCAGGCUCUCUUCUUUUCCCAUCAAACAUUCUAUUUAUAAUUACCCCUUUUGAACCUUCAGAAUGAUCAUUUCGUUUGGCAACCCCUGAGAAUCGCAAACUCCACACUGGGACAAAUUUGAAUUUUAACAGAAGAAAACUAGAAAAGAAAGGAAAAACUUCAAAAGAUGAUGGGAAGGCAGAAGGCCGAAAGAAAGGAAAUGAAAGAAAAAAGAACCUCGGUUAAGUAUAAAUUGGGGCAAAUUUUGAAAAUUUCAAAGGAAUGGCAGAAGGCCGAAAAAAAGGAAAUGAAAGAAAAGAGAUCCUAAGUUAAGAAUAAAUUGGGACAAGUUUUGAGUUAACCCUAAUAUAGGGUUGAUGCAACAAUGUGAUUUCAGAUCAUUUAAAUCACUUUUGAAAUCCGCUUUCAAACCUUAACUUUUCUAAAUACCCCAUCUGACCCCAUUACAAAAGUCAAAAAUCCUGACUUCUGUUCUUUGUAAUAUCUUUGUCAAAAAAUUUGCUAAUUAAUUGACAUAUGAUAUUUAUAUACUGAUGCCAGGAAAUUUUUUAGAUGUAUUUUUGAAUUAAUUAAGUGUGAGGUUGACACUACUCAUCAUGUGAAAACCCGCAAGGACGCUUUUAAAAGAGAAAAGGAGAAAGGAAAAAGAAAAUCAAGAAGGAAAAUAGGGAAAAAAGAGAAAGGAAAAGAAAAACAAAAGGAUGGAGGAUAAUCUUGAUAAAAACCCGAAAUGACGCUAAGGUAGGGUUGCACAAAAAGAGCAAAGGUGAUUCAGUUCAUUGGGAUUCCUUUUCACAUUGUGAUUUUUCUGCUGGCAUUGAAUUUCGGACAGACGAUAUCCAAAGGGUCAAACGGGGCACUUUGUUAGAGGCCAAAGUAUUUUGGUCAUCAACGCAGAUUGCUGAAUUUGUGAUUCAUUUCUUUAAAGUCAUCUUUUUCUUUCAAUACAAGUCGAUGGUUAUUUUUUUGCAUUACUUUGAUUUUUGACAUUUUUGUAUAAAAAAUUUUUGGGUGUUGUAUAGUUUCAUUUGUCUCAUUGGAUUUUAUCAAAUGACAGUUUUCUCAAUUUAUCGAAAGGUGCAUAUAUACAAGUUUUCAUGUUAAGUUAGCAUUGGAAGCUAAGGCAAUUGGGAUGCAAUUUGCGGUACAAUGUCGGGUUUUGCAGCAUCGAGGAAAAACAUCAAAAUACUCAUUUUUAUAUGUUUCUCGAAAGUCGGACAGAUCGAAUGGUGGUAACAUUAUUUUGAUUGUUUCACAUAGCAAAACUGGGAAAAAUUAUUUUUGUAAUAAAGUCAGGGAAUGUCGCCCAACAAUUAAACAUUUAGGAUUCAAACAGAAGAGAAAAUGUGAAUCAAGGCCUUAAGGAGGAGCAGCAAUCGCACAAUGCAAAGCAAAUGAUUGAUUGUACAAAAAUUGAUUUAAAUUGGGGCAAUUUUUGAAAAGAUUUUUCAGGUAAGUAUUCAAGAACUUUUUCAUGCACUAACGUGUUUUUUUUCUUUCACCGUUAGUAUCGAGUUUUACUCACUAACGUGUAUUGUGUUUUUCUUUCGCCGUUAGCAUCGAGUAUAUCUCACUAAUGUGUUUUUUCUUUCACCGUUAGCAUCGAGUUUAUCUCACUAACGUAUUUUUUUCUUUCACCAUUAGCAUCAAGUUUAUCUCACUAAAGUAUUUUUUCUUUUACCGUUAGCAUCGAGUUUAUCUCACUAACGUGUUUUUUUUCUUUCACCGUUAGCAUCGAAUAUAUCUCACUAACGUGUUAGCAUCUGUUAGCAUCGAGUUUUACUCACUAACGUGUGUUGUGUUUUUCUUUCGCCGUUAGCAUCGAGUUUAUCUCACUAACAUAUUUUUUCUUCCACCGUUAGCAUCGAGAAUAUAUCACUAACGUAUUUUUUUCACCUUUACCAUCGAGUUUAUCUCACUAACGUAUUUUUUCUUUCACCGUUAGUAUCGAGUAUAUCUCACUAACGGGUUUUUUUUCUUUCACCGUUAGCAUCGAGUAUAUCUCACUAACGUGUUUUUUCUUUCACCGUUAGCAUCAAAUUUAUCUCACUAACGUGUUUUUUUCUUUCACCGUUAGCAUCGAGUUUAUCUCACUAACGUAUUUUUUCUUUCACCGUUAGCAUCGGGUCCAAUACACUAACGUGGCUUCUAUCACUGUUUCCAUCAGGUCUAACCCACUAACGUGACUUCUAUAUCCAUUAGUAUCGAGUUUAUCUCACUAAUGUUAUUUUUUUCACUGUUAGCAUCGAGUUUAUCUCACUAAUGUAUUUUUUCUUUUACCGUUAGCAUCGAGUUUUUCUCACUAACGCGUGCUGUAUUUUUCUAUCACCGUUAGUAUCGAGUUUUUCUCACUAACAUGUGUUGUGUUUUUCUAUCACUGUUAGCAUUGGGUUCAUCCCACUAACGUGUUUUCUUACCUCGGCAGGUUUGGAUUUUAUUCCACUGACCGUUAUAUCGUUGGGAUCGGAUUUUAUCCCAUCAAUCUCGGCAGGACCGGGUUUUAUCCCGCUAACCGUUUAAAUGAUCCCACCAACCUCGACAGGAUCGGAUUUUAUCCCGCUGACCGUUUAUAUCUCGUUGGAAUCGAGUUUUAUCCCACCAAUCUCGGCAGGGUCGAAUUUUAAUCCGUUGAUCGUUUGUAUCUCAUUGGGAUGGGAUUUUAUCCCACUGACCUUUUCUUUUUAUGUUUUCAGUUCAAGGCAGAAUAACUACAGGUAAGUAUUUGGUGCCUACGCCCUUGCCUCGUAUUUCUUCGAAAUCCAGAUAAAGAGAGGCAAGCUGUAGACAUCAAAAUUUCAUAAUUUUAUUUUAUUCGUUUUUAUUCAUAAUUUUGUUUAUUUUAUUGAUUUUUAUUUUAAUUUAUUUUGUUUUCCUUGAGAAAAAUCAUUUUAGAAAAUCGAAAAAAGAAAAUUGGAAGAAAAAGAAUUAGAAAGAAAGAAAGAAAGGAAAAAUAGAAAUGAAAUGAAAAUCAGUUUUUGUAAAAAAAAAAAACGACUUUUCCACGCUCGUGCGCCAUUUCCUUCAAUAUUGGUACGAUAGCUUCAGUGCUAAAGAAAAAAAUUGCAGCGGCCAUUUGGGGAUUCAAUCCCACUUGUUUUUGUUUUUUUUCUUUUCCCCAACUAUUUGCCACCUUAUGUCCCUAAUCUAUAUCAAGAUCUUUCUGGAAAAAUAAACGUCCAAUGGCUCAAGUAUUUUGAGGAAACCCACCCUUCAUCCUCACCUUUGAGGUGAGGGUUUUGGGGUUCUUGGUUCCUAUAAAAUGGAUUAAAAAACAUAGCUGAGAGAGGAGGACGGAAGUAGGGAGAAAGGAGUGGCGGCUGGAAGGAAAAAACUAAAGAGCUACGGGCUGAGAGGAGGAAGAAAAAGCAGAAAAAAAAAAGAGAGAACGGAGAGAGGAAAACUAAGAGAGUUUCGAGGGGUGGAAAUCUGGAAAAAAAAUAGAAAAACAGAAGGAGAGAGUGAGAGGGAACCAAGGGAAACCAAAAAAGAGGAAGGAAAAGGACUGGGGAAAACUAGAGGAGGGGGUUUCGGCUGAGAGCUUUGGAGGAAAAGGAAGGGAAAGAAAGAAGACUACGGUCUGAGGAACCAAGAAAGCUGGGAGGAGAGCUACGGACAAGAAAAGAGACAAGCGAGGGAGGAGAGAAAAGGACCAAGAGAAAGAAAGAAAGGGGUUGCAGCGGAGAGAUCAGGGAGAGAAACCAACAAAAAAAGAUAGCUACGGGCAAGGAGGAAAAAGGCUGGAAAAUAGCAGAGGAGCUGAUGUUAGGGUGGUUAUUUAAAUUUAACCACUGGUGAAAAUCAUCACCUUUAAACCCAAGAUAUGUAUGGCGAUUAUUAAGAAAUACAUUAACUGUAAAAUAGCAGAAGCGUACCUGAAUUCAUAUUGAUAAACUUGAUACUUGAAUCCCUAAAAAUUCGGGGUGGCCUUCCAGGUCAACAGGUAUUCACCGAUCCUUUGAGAGAAGUCUUUAGUUUCUUUUUGGUAUCUUUCCUGACGAUGGGAUAUCAGGGAAGAGCUAUUUUAUGGUAUUAGGGAAUACGACAACUAGAAUGAUACCUGUGACCUGGUGACCAUAACUCUAUUUAUAGGUAACAUUCUUGUUACCUUUUGGAUCCCUAUUUCAACCCAUCAUUGAAAUAGAAGCCCAUAAGUUUCUACACAUUAAAGGACCCACAUCCUAUUAGAUACAUUAAACCUAAACUAUAUUUGAUCACUUUAAUUGGGUUUAACCUUAAUUGAUAGUUUGCAAUACAUAAUUAUUCACAUAUAAGUCCAAUGUUGGAUUAAGAAUCCAACAAUCUCCCACUUGGACUAUAUGUGUAACCUUAUAAUUAUGUUUUGUAAUUAAUCGUAUGAGCUCAACUUUACUGUCAUUAUCACAAUGUAUCUGUAACCAAUUCGGUCCAUCAAUUACACCAAUAUAGGAUUAAAGCGGCCUUUGUUACAAUUUCGUAACUCAACCUAUCAAUGGUCACAUAUAUCAAUGCAAUUGAAUGACAUGAAUCAUGAUGUGGAUGUGUAGCAUGAAAAUUUCAUGUAAUGUGAUCAAAACAUGCCUAUUUCCAACUGGUCCACCUUAAAUUUUAUGAGAUCAAACUAUACCAAGGUUAGAGUGUAAAUAAAUCCAAACCUUAUUUAUGCAUAAAAUAUUCUUAAAUCCUUAAUAACCAAAACCAUCAUAAGAGCAUUCAAAAUAACAAACUCCCACUAAAACUGUACAUCAUUUAAUAAUAUAACACCCAUACGAGCAGUAUGCUCAUAAAACAUUUUGGGUGGCAAUCCUUUAGUAAGCGGAUCCGCAACCAUGGAGUUUGUUCCGAUAUGCUCUAUCGAUAACUGCCCAUUCUGCACUGUUUCUUUAACAGUCAGGAACUUGAUAUCUAUAUGUUUAGAUUUCGUCGAGUUCCUGUUAUUGUUGGAAUAUAGGACUGCUGACUUAUUAUCACAAAAUAAUUUGAGUGGUAUUUCAAUACUAUCUACCACACGUAAUCCUGUGACGAAAUUUUGCAGCCAAAUUCCUUGAUUGGAUGCCUCAUAACAAGCAAUAAACUCUGCAGCUAUAGUGGAAGAUGCUAUGAGGAACUGUUUAGAACUCUUCCAGAAUAUGGUAUCUCCAACCAACAAGUACACAUAGUCUGACGUUGACUUCAUAGUAUCUUGGCAUCCAGCAUAAUCAAAAUCAGUAUACCCAACGAUCUCUAACUCAUCUAACUUCCGAUACGUGAGCAUGUAGUCUUUUGUUUUCUGUAGAUACCGUAAGACCCGUUUGGUUGCUUUCCAAUGAUCCAAUCCAGAAUUACUCAAAUAUCUACCCAACAUCCCAAUAAUGUACGUAAUAUCCGAACGUGUACAUACUUGAGCAUACAUUAGACUCCCUACUGCUGAGGCAUAAGGAAUCUUUUGCAUCUUUCUUUCCUCAAAAGUAUUCUUAGGACACUGCUCAAGACUAAAUUUGUCUCCUUUAGCCACAGAAGUGUCACCUGGUUUAUAAUUUUGCAUGCCAUAUCUUUUAAGAACCUUUUCGAUAUAAUCCUUUUGUGAUAGUUCUAAAAUACUCCGAGAGCGAUCAUGGUGUAUCUGUAUGCCUAACACAAAAGAUGCAUCACCAAGAUCUUUCAUCUCAAAAUUCUUAGUUAGAAAUUUCUUGGUUUCAUGCAAUAGAUUAAUAUCGUUGCUGGCAAGCAAAAUAUCAUCAACGUACAAUACCAGAAAAAUAUACUUGCUCCCACAGAACUUAUGGUAUAUACAAUCAUCCACUAAAUUCAUCUCAAAACCAAAUGAGAUGAUCACUUGAUGGAAUUUGAAAUACCAUUGUCGAGACGCUUGUUUGAACUCAUAGAUGAAUUUUUUAAGUUUGCAAAUCAUAUUCUUUGGAUCUCCUGAUACAAAGUUUUCUGGUUGCACCAUAUAAAUUGUCUCAUCAAUGUUACCAUUGAAAAAUGCUGUCUUUACAUCCAUAUGAUGUAACUCAAGAUCGAAAUGUGCCACUAAUGCCAUGAUAAUUCUAAAAGAGUCAUUUGAAGAGACUGGAAAGAAGAUUUUUUUAUAGUCGAUACCUUCUUUUUGUGUAAAUCCCUUAGCGACAAGACGAGUUUUGAAUCUUUCCACAUUGUCUUUCGAAUCCCUCUUGAUUUUAAAUAUUCAUUUACAACCAAUGGGUUUCGCACCUUCUGGCAAUGGGACAAGAUCCCAGACAUCAUUGUCCUUCAUGGAUUUAAUUUCCUCUUUCAUGGCAUCAAUUCACUUUUGAGAAUUUGAACUUUCCAUGACUUGACGGAAGUUGAUUGAAUCAUCUUCCAUCAAUCCAAAAUCAUCCUCAUGUUCUUGGAGAAAAAUAAUGUAAUCAUCUGGCACUGCACUUCUCCUUUCUCUAGUGGAUCUUCUUAAUGGCAUUGGUUCUUGAGGAGGAAGAGUUUGUUCUUCUAUAACAGUUUGCUCUUCGACAUUAUUUUGAUUUGUCAUGUCAUGAUCAAAUUCAGGAAUAGGGUCCUGAACAAGAGCAAUGACACCUGUGGGAAUAUUAAUAUAUUUCUCUUUAAAGAAAAUGUCCCGUACUAUAUUUUCUCCCCCAAACUCGACAUCCUCAAAGAACCGGGCAUUUCCUGUCUCAAAAAUUGAUUUAGUUGUAGGAUCAUAAAACUUGUAACUUCUGGAUCUUUCAGAGUAUCCAAUAAAAUAACAACUAAUCGUUCUUGAGUCCAGUUUCUUUUCAUUUGACUUGUAAGGUCUUGCCUCAGUUGGACACCCCUAAACAUGCAGAUGCUUUAAAUUGGCUUUUUCCCUGUCCAAAUCUCAUAAGGGGUUUUGAUAGUUACUUUAGUUGGAAUCCUAUUAAGGAUAUAUGCUGCAGUCUUAAGUGCUUCACCCCAGUGUGACUCUGGUAAGGUAGAAUGACAUAUCAUACUUCUUACCAUGUCUUUAAGCAUUCUAUUUCGUCUUUCAACUAUACCAUUCAUAGUGGGUGAACCCGGCAUAGUGUACUGUGGGACGAUACCGCAUUCCUCUAGGUAUUUAGCAAAUGGUCCUAGACGUUAUUUACCUGAACUGUCAUAUCUGCCAUAGUACUCACCACUACGGUCAGAUCUGACGCUUUUAAUUCUUUUGUUGAGUUGAUUCUCAACUUCAGUUUUAAAACUUUUGAACACGUCCAGUGACUGUGAUUUUUCAGAAAUGAGAUAUAUGUAGCCAUAUCUUGAAAAAUCGUCUAUGAACGUUAUAAAAUAUUGUUGACCAUUUCAAGCAGAUGUACGAAAUGGUCCACAAAUAUCUGUAUGUAUAAGUUCUAAGACGUUUAAGGACCUAUUGGCUUCAAAUCUCCUUUUAUUGGUUUGUUUCCCCUUUAUACAGUUAAUACAAUCAUUAAAAUCUGUAAAAUUCAAGGAGCCGAGAAUUUCAUUUGACACAAGCCUUUCCAUUCUUCGUUUGGAGAUAUGUCCCAAUCUCUUGUGCCAUAAUGCAGCUGAAUUCUCAUUGGCUAAUUUUCUUUUAACUCCUCUAGUACUCAAAUACAGAAAUUCAUUAAAUGAGGCAAUCGUAUCAAUUAAAUAUAGAUUAUCGUAAUGCAUUAAAGAAUCAGAACCAACCAAUUUUGAAUAAUGAAACAAUUCAAAAUUUUCAUUUCCAAAUGAACAAAAAUAAUCAAAUUUGUCCAAAGCAGAAAUAGAAAUUAAAUUCCGUCGAAAAGACGGUACAAUAAAUGUCUCAUUGAGAUCCAAAUAAAAUCCGGUCUUUAACAAUAAUCUAAAAACUCCAAUUACCUCAACUUGAACUGUUUUGCCAUCGCCCAUGUAGAUAUAUCUUUCAUUAUCGUUAGGUUUUCGGCAAUUCAGACAACCCUGCAUAGACACACUGAUGUGAGUUGUUGCACCAGAAUCUAACCACCAUGUGUGUCUAGGUACCGAGGUUAAAUUAAUCUCAAAAUAAACCAAAUUAAGAAGCAUACAUUUUUUAGCACGCCAAGCGUGAUAGUUGGUGCAAUACUUCUUUUGAUGCCCUUCAGCUCCACAGAAGAAACAACUAUUUUUUUCCUGAUCAUUUGAUUUCUUUUGUUGUUUCUUUUGUGGUGCUGUACCUGCAGCUCCUUUUUCCUUCUUUCUUUUAAAUUCCUUAUUUUUAUUAUUAGUGGUUGACACCAGAUGGACACUUUCUGUCUGCUCUUGCUUUAACAUUUUCUCUUUCUCUACACAGUGUGAGAUGAGUUCAUUUAGAGACCAAAUCUCCUUUUGACAGUUGUAACUCACCUUAAACUGGCUAAACUGUGUAGGAAGAGAUAUUAAAAUCAAAUGUACUAGUAACUCUUCAGAGAGUUUUAACUUAAGCGCAUUUAAUUUCGAAACAAGAUGAGACAUCUCCAUGAUAUACUCUCUGAUAUUGGAUUUACCACUAUAUUUCAUUGAAACUAGGCGUGUCAAGAGCGUACUAACUUUAGCCUUUUCGUUCUUGACAAACCUUUUUUCAAUGUCCUGAAGGAACUCUUUAGCGGUUACAGUCGUUUCUGACAUUGUUCCCCUGAAUGAUUCUGGAAUGGCCUUUUUAAUGAUCAUCAGACACAGCCGAUUUGAUCUCUCCCACUUCUUAUUAUUUCUCUUUUCAUCAGAGGUACUCUAGGGGAGAAUCAUCCCUUAACGCAAGGUCGAGAUCCAUUACUCCAAGUACUAUCAAGAGGUUUUCUUUCUAGAACUUGAAGUUUGUGCCAUUCAGCAUAGGAAUGUUAUUGAUGUUGGCAGUAAUAUUUGUAACAUCAUUUGCAAUUGUACAGAAAACAUAAUAUAAUUAAAACAAUGCUCACAUAAAUCAAAAUAAUAAUAAAUUUAAAUAAUGGUAACCCCAUCUCAAGAUAUCGAUAUUCCAUUAAUAUUUUAUUUUUGGACAAAAUAUUAACUUCUAAGUGAUAUCUUGGCGCAGUAAUAAACACUGACAAUAAUCACAUGUCAAAAAAUAAAUUUUUCUUUGGGCCAAUUUAUAAUUCACAUGUAAAAAAUCGAAUAAUUAUCACAUGUUUAUUACCACAAGUGCACAAGUAAUUUCAUUAAAUAUUGACCUUCUUUUGGCCCGAUCAAUAUUCAUAAAAUUACCAGUACCCAACUAAUUAUAUUUUAAAAUAAAUUAAUUUCCAUAAUAGAGGUCACUUUGGUGGCAUAUUAGUUCAAUUAAUUUAUUCCAAAAUAUAUAUAAUCAUACCAAUAUUCAAAUUUAAAAUUAUCCAAAUUAAAUAAAAAUUUUGAUCAAAGUCAACUUUGGUCAACUUUGAUCAAAACGUGGUCAAACAUGAUCAAAUCAAUCAAAUUAAAUCAUGACCUAUUGGACCAAAGGUCCAUAUCCAUAAUUUGACCCAAAAUUAACAUUCAAGCUCAAAAAUUUCCUUGAAAUCCAUAAGUACUUUAUAAAAACUACAAAUUUAAUGGGCCACACAUAUGGAUUUUAUAGGGCUUAAAUAUCAUAUUUAACUUUAUUAGGGUUCACUUAAAGUAAAUAAACCCUAAUUUUCUUAAUAUAAAUAUAGACAUAUUUAUCCAUAAAUAAAGAAACAGGUCAAAGAGCUCAAGUAUUAACCAAAUUAAUAUUAUGGACAAAAGUUAAAACUCAAGAUAUUCCUUGUCAAUUUUAAUUCUUAAAAUCAGGGAAAAGGAUGAAAGACCUCCCGAAGCCAGAAGACAAAUUAAUUUACAUCAUCCAAAACAUGCAGAUCCCACAAAUAUUAUGCUAUCCAACGGAGAGUUUCACAGAAUUGAUUCAUGCAUUCUUUCUUAUCAAUUUUGAUCCUUAAAAAUAGAGAAAUUAAAGGAAACCCCAUGUCUGCCAUGUGAGAAACCAAAACAGAAGCCGAAACAUGAGUUACCACAGAACAUGACUAGCAAAGGAUCUUGACUAAAAUGGACCCACUGAAUUUCAUGUCAUCAAUGCUAUGAGUCAAUGGCAUGAAUAACAUAUAGCAAUCAAUCUGGAUUCAUAUCAUGCCAUUCAUCAUGCGGCCGACAGAUGCAUUUAUAGUCAAAAUUCAAAACAGCCACGAUGCACCCAGAAUUUUCUUGUUUAAUGGCAUAUAUGCAUAAAUAUCAAAACCGAAUUCACCAGACCAAAAAAAAUAUGUAUGUUGAUACAUAAAUUACUAAAUCCAAAUUAUUUCUCAAUAAUCAACCAUAUGGGCUCUGAUGCCACUUGUUAGGGUGGUUAUCUAAAUUUAACCACUGGUGAAAACCAUCACCUUUAAACCCAAGAUCUGUAUGGCGAUUAUUAAGAAAUACAUUAACUGUAAAAUAGCGGAAGCGUACCUGAAUCCAUAUUGAUAAACUUGAUACUUGAAUCCCUAGAGAUUCGGGGUGGCCUUCCAGGUCAACAGGUAUUCACCGAUCCUUUGAGAGAGGCCUUUAGUUUCUCUCUAGUAUCUUUCCUGAUGAUGGGAUAUCAGGGAAGAACUAUUUUGUGGUAUUAGGGAAUACGACAACUAGAAUGAUACCUGUGACUUGAGGACCAUAACCCUAUUUAUAGGUAACAUUCUUGUUACCUUUUGGAGCCCUAUUUCAACCCAUCAUUGAAAUAGGAGCCCAUAAGUUUCUACACAUUAAAGGGCCCACAUCCUAUUAGAUACAUUAAACCCAAACUAUAUUUGAUCACUUUAAUUGGAUUUAACCUUAAUUGACAGUUUGCAAUAUAUAAUUAUUUACAUAUAAGUCCAAUGUUGGAUUAAGGAUCCAACAGCUGAAGUAAGAAAAAGUAAAAGAACCGAGGAAAGGAAGCUUCGGGCAGUGACGGGCGGGGCUGGAGAAAAGAAGGAAGAGAAAAGAAACCGAGAAGAAAGGAUUUCGGGGAAAGCAAAGGCAGUGAAACAGGUAAUCUUCAAUCUUUUUUCUUGUUCGCUUCAAGCUCUAAACAGUACCAGAUCUGUUAAACUAAAACCUGGUUUUGGUUUAUUUGUUGGGUCUCUGCUAAACCAAUAUGCAUCAACAUUGCGUCUGAUUUGGUUGGAACUGAAUGCUCAUGGUUGCUGUUUUCUUGUUGUUUCUCCCUCUUUUCCUCCCGUUCAUUCUUUGACCAAGGAUCUGUUCCCUUUUCUGCGUAGCUUAGUCGAGUUUCUUUUCGGUCAAUAUGCUGGGGUUGGGAUGUGAAUAACGAAUAGUUGAAGGUUGUGAAAAAUAGCGGCUGGAAAGUUGCAGAAAUUUUCAGAUUUCGCAUGCCCUUUUCCUAUGAAUUUUGUGUGUAAACAUAAGAGUUUUUAUGGUCAUAAAGUGGAAAGAAUGCUUGGUGAACUUGUUACUUUGGCCCAAGUUGUUGUUGGUUGAGCCGUUAGUAAUGUUUGGAUAGAAAAGAUUGCAUUCAGAAACCCAGAAAUUGCAGAAACUCUCGGAUACAGGAAGAAGAAAGCUUCCUUGGAAGCUUGCAUGGAAUAUUUCCAAAAAUCACGCUUUAACCCCUUAAUUUUUGUAUAAUAUCGCUAUGGCCUGAAAUUUGAGAAAAAUAAAACCAGUUUUGUCCCUUUGAAUUUUGAAUUGCCUUGGCAUACUUUAAUAUGAUUAUUGGACAGAAUAUGCAUGAGUUUUGGGAUGAAAUUUGAAGGUUUAAUAACUUUUGAUAAAUUUAUAGUUUUGAUUUGGAUUUUUAGCGGAUCAUAGCAAAUGGGUCUUCAUUCAUGUUUUUUGUGAAUUUUAGCAUUUAGUUUUGGUAGAUUUUAUCUUAAGCCAUUAAUUUUAAUCUGCUUUAAUUUAGACCCCUAAUAUUUGUAAUAAUAAUAAUUUGACCCUCAAACUUCUUUAAUUCUUUUAAUUGGGUCCUUGUUUGUCUUAAUUUGUUGAAUCUAGGUUGUUUACCUUCAUUUGAAUGCUUUGAUUGAUCCAAUCUCAUGUUUAUUUUCAUUUCUUAUGAUUAUUUGUUAAUUAAAGUGAUGCCUUGACCUUUUUCUUCGUUUUGGAGGGUAAAUGAAGGAAAAUUUCAUUCCAUUAGGUCACCAAUUCAAGGGAGGUACACUCUACUCUUUAUUUCGAUUUUACUUGAAACUAUGUGCUUCUAUGUGAGUUUAUGUGUGUAAUUGCAUGCUCCUUUUGAAUGUUUUUAUUUCAUUUAUUUAUUUAUUCGCUUUAUUUGUUUUAAUUUUGUAUAUUUAUUUUUAAUUUAAUUUUUAGUUAUUUGAGAGGCAUUUAAAUGCCAAAUUGUAAUAGUUAGAUUAUUAUUUUAUCUUAUUUCAUUUUUCCCCCUUAGAUUGUAGUUAGGGCCCCUAAUGUAAUAGUUAGGUUUCUAUUUGCUUUGUGUGUUUUGCAUGCUUGUGUGUUACGUGUUACUCGCUUUCUUAGGGUCUUGCAUCUAUAUAUCAUGCUUAUGUGCUAUGUGUUUUAUAUGAUAUUAUGUGUUUACUUGUUUUAUUAUGUUUUAUAUGAUUUGUUUAGUUAUAAUAAAAUGCAUGAUGUCACCACACUAGUCCAACGCUAGUUGUGGCCUCUUUCUCGUCACCACACUAGUCCAACGCUAGUGAGGACUCAUAGACAUGGGUUAGUCCAAUGCUAGACCCUUAGAAACCAUCCACACGCUAGAUCAUGUUUGUGUGACGAUCACUACAUUUUCACGCAUAUUUUCUACUUUUUAGGGUUUUUAUCAUUUCGCAUGAUAUUCCCCUAUAUAUAUAUCCCUUAUCCCAUAUUUUCCGUAUAUGUAUUCCUUAUCUCAUACUUUUCCUAUAUGUAUGUGUCCUUUAUCCCCAUGUUUGAGAUAUGACAUUAGACUUGCAUUUCAUUUAAGAAACGUUAGGAGUAGAUUAGUGCAUUUGCUUGAUUCAAUUAGGGAAAUAACCCUUCAAAUAUGGGAUAUGGACGAGUAUGACUCUCUAGCCUUAGCACGCUCGUAUUCCCUCUAUAAAAAGGAAAAAUCUAGUCGUGAAUCUUAGUUCUCCGCACCUGUUAUGAUGCAUUCCUUUAGGUCAUAUAUUUGUAUAUUAUUAUUUUCUUUUCUUUUCUUAGAGUCUCAUAUUUUUGCAUAUUUGUGACAUCUUCAAAGAAUCACUCUUGGGCAUCACAAUUAAUGUGAUUGGCACCAAUUAAGUUUUGAAGAGAUAUUCCAACCCCCCGAUAUCCUUCUAGGUUAGGAUUGCAUUCAUAUAGUGAUAUUCAAAUGUGAUAAAUUUUUAGCUUAUAUUAAGAAAAACUUUGACUAAAUCACGCAACUAACCUUAGUUAGGUUGAGAGGGUGUCUUGGAUUUUAUCCCUGCCUUCCCUUUGUUCAACCGUGACUUCCGAACCUUUUUCUCUGAUUUGCGUAGACUUGGAGUCGUUUAAAAAGGGUUUUCUCUACUUUUUAUCUAAAAUUUAUUUUUAAAUGACUUGGUACACCUUAAUUCAAUACCAAGUGGCGACUCCUAUUUUUCAUUAAAAACCCUUUUUAAACUAUUAUGUUGGGUCUAAAUCAUCGCAUUUUUUAAGUCCCAUUUAGACCCAUUUUCUUUAUUUAUUUUCUAAAAAUCAAAAAUCCAUUUUCACUUAAAAAUUAAUCAAAAAUUCAUUUUUCAUUUAAAAAUAUGGGACACGACAAACCUAUUACGAGGACACCCACCAUAAUUGCCAUCCCUAUGUAUAGUGUUUUUAUCUAGUACUAGGAUAUGGUUCAACAUUUGAUUACCAUGCUGUGUUAGGACAUGCAGUUUGAGAGUGGUUUAUAUUAGAUUUGUUCCACAAUUCAUAUUUCAGUUUGUUGGAUCUACUGAAACGGUAUUUAUCAACAAAAAUAUCUUCUAAAUUAAUGUAGGAUAGUGAGUAAUUAAAUCCAAUUAAUGUGGGAAGAAAGUGUAAGUGAGAGAUCCGGGUUCGAAAUCUCUUGCUUACGUAAAAAAAAAAUCCAACUAAAGCUAUUUGCUGUUUGUUCAGUGUAUUGCUUACCAAGAAGCUUGCCCAAGCCGAACAAGCAUUUUAGCCCAUGUAGUUGACCUGCUCUUUCAGCCCAAUAGGCUCGACCAAUUAGUCCCAAUACGUUAACCCAUGAUACAUUUCCAAUGCCUACAUAACCCCUUUGGCGAAUCAUUUUACCCAUGCAGCUUUUACCAUGGCAAUAAGAGAUUUACUCUGCAUUUUUUUUAUUCGUCUUAGAUUUCAUUAUUUGCGAAACUGCAACUCAUUUGGUUUUACAGACAAAAUUAACUACAGAGAAUGCUGGAGUUGUGUUUCAAAAUUGAGAAAAUAAAGGCGAGGCAGGUAUCUAACAUAUUUGUUCCUUUUGCUUACAUUAACCUGCUUGCAUAUGCUACUUACUAAUUCUAUCUGAUUUUUUUCUGAAGUUUCAUUUUGAAUGGGGCCUUUAUCUGCAAUUCUAUAUAGAGGAGUUUUUGUACCUCGGAUAUUACAAGACAUAUUGGAACCAACCAUGCAGCUGUUGGUUAAAGACGCGAAAUUUUCAAAAGAAACUUUGUACUUUAUAUUGCUUUAUUUAGAAAUUUCUUGUGACAGCACAAAAGGCUCCUUUUGGCAGCAUUUUAAGAUUCAAGAUCCAUCAUUCUUGCAAUCUUGCCUUCUUCACCAAAUGAGGCUGAUAAUAACAUUAACGGAUGGGUCUUAAUAAACUAUGACUCCAUUGGUUAUAUAUAUAUAUAUAUAUAUAUAUACACACACGUACACAAGAUCAUUUCAUUCAAUAAAAUUUGCACUAAUGGCAGAAAAUACAUCAAACAUAUAUGAUACAAAUACAUAAAUCUGAAAUCAAUAGAUACAACAGAUCUAAGAAAUCAAUACAAAUAUAUAUUAACAUUGAUGCUACUAGAUAUCUUCCAUUUAAACGAAUUAUUGUAGUUCAAUACAUCUGUGUAUAUCUUUUGAUAGUCAGAUCAGAAUAAAACUAUUAUAAGUCCAAAGAAAAAUUUAGAUCUUACAAUAAUAAAGAAAUUGCAAAUCUAAAAAACUAGAUUCUAGAUCUAUAAAAUUUCAGAUUUCACAAAAAAAGAUAAAAAACUAAAAAAAAAAACUCUCAUGAGAAAAAAUCCAAAAGAAAAUAAAACUCUCACUAAAACAAUUUAGGAAAGAAGAAAUUCUCACUAUGAGAACUUAGAAGAGAAGUAUAAUUUACUAAUAAAUCGUAAGAGAGAAUUUAUUCAAAACAAGAGAAACUAAAACGAGAGAGUGUGCUUCCUUUCAUGGGUAAAGAUUAGAUCACUCUUCCAUGGAAGAGAUAAAGAGGAUUUUGACCAGAAGAGUUUUAGAGAAAAGAGUUCUAGAGAGUGAGGAAAAGAGCGACUGUAUAAAUCCAUUGGCUUUUGAACAUGUAAUAUAGAAGUCAUUCAUGCUUAUUUAACUUCAAAUUGUCAAUCUCAUUGCCUUAAUCAACUCCAUGCUUUAUGUUUGAAUGCCACUUAAUUGGGAUACAAAAUAAAGGUUACAUUAUGAUGGGCGAUGGCUUUGCAUAGCGCAAGGAUCCCCACCUAGUAUAUCCUGUUGAAUGUGGCGUUGUCCCACAUCGGACAAAGCCAGAGGAAGACGGCUCAUCAGGGCCUAUAAAUAUAUGGCCUUGGUGGUGAAGACAUUUGCACCACUCAAGAGAGUUAUAUGGGCUAUUAGCUUCUUGAGUCAUCUAGCCCAUUCACUUAAAUAUUUUAGGCUCUCUUGUUUUGAGUUUAGGAAUUUUUCCUAAACCUUUUGUAAGUGCCUAUUGGCCUAAGAACCACUUUCCUACGGCUUUUGUAUUUCUUCUUCAUAGUAGAAAUAUUGCUCCUCCCUCGCCCGUGGACGUAGGUCAAUUUGACCGAACCACGUAAAUCUUUUGUGUCUUUUAUUUGCUUUGUUAUCCGUCUUUAUAUGGUCGGUUUUACCGUCUAAUUAUUAUAUGGCUGGUAUCUACCGCCUAUCUAUUAUAUGGUCGGUUAUACCGCCUAUUUUGUGCUAACUUGAGUUUGUCUAUUUCCUGGCCCGGUCCUAACAAACUGGUAUCAGAGCUGGUUGUUAUAUUUUGCAAGACAGGUUCAUCUGGUGGGGUCCGUUUAUCCGUGGAGCCCGCUCACCUUGUGGGGUCCGUUCAUCCCCGUGGGGCCCGCUUAUCUCGUGGGGUCCACUCACCCUGUGGGGCCCGCUCACGAGACUUGCAUAUUUGUUUGGCCAGUUUUUUGAGACAAAUUUCAAGUUACAGAUUUUGUGGCAACAAUGACGAUAACAAAGACGGUUGUCGAGAAAUUCGACAAGAAUGUCAACUUCGGCAUGUGGCAGCUCAAGAUGGAGGCCAUUCUUGUUCAAGACGGAGUUGAUUUGGCAAUUCAAGGAAUUGAGAAAAAGCCAGAAGAUGUGACAGAUGCAAAUUUUGCUGAGAUGGAUAAGAAGACAAGAUCCAGUAUUAUCCUAAAUCUCUCCGAUGAGGUAUUGCGUGAGGUAGCAACGGAGACUUCGGCCAAGGUUAUGUGGGAUAAAUUGAAAGCCUUGUAUAUGAAGAAGACAGUCGAGAAUCGGCUAUAUCUGAAACAGAGUUUGUAUAUGCUUCGGAUGUCUGAAGGUACAUCUAUACUUUCCCAUCUUGAUAAAUUUGAUUCCAUUAUUAUGGAUUUGGAGAAUAUAGAUUCGAAAAUUGAUGAUGAAGAUCAGGACCUAUUACUUUUGUGUUCCCUUCCCCAAUCUUUUAAGCAUUUCCGUGAUACUAUGAUAUAUGGAAAGGAAACAAUUUCGUAUUGGGAAAUUAAAUCUGCAUUAAAAUCUAAAGAGCAGAUAGAUAGGGAUAUUACUGGGGAAACUAGUGGGAGUCAAGCCGAUGGCUUGUUUGUUCGGGGUAGAUCUGAAAGGAGAAACACAGAAAAUAGAAGUAGAUUUAAGUCCAGACAUAAAAAUGUGGUGUGCAACUAUUGUAAAAAGAAGGGCCAUAUUAUCUCUGAUUGCUUUAAAUUGAAAAAUAAAGAAAAGCAAAAGGAGAAAAGGAGUGAAACCACCGAGGCUAGUAUUGCUGUUGAUGAGAAUGAUGGAACUAUUUUCUGUGCAACAGAAAAUAAAUUUAGGUCUAACAAUGAGUGGAUUUUAGAUUCGGGUUGUUCAUAUCAUAUGUGUCCCAAUAGGGACUGGUUUUCAACAUAUGAACCAACUGAAGGUGGAGUUGUCUUAAUGGGCAACAACGCUGUUUGUAAAGUUGUUGGCAAAGGUACAAUCCAGAUUAAAAUGUACGAUGGUAUUGUGAGGACGCUCACAAAUGUUAGACAUGUUCCAGAUUUGAAGAAAAAUCUCAUCUCUUUGGGCACUCUUGAGUCUAUCGGGUGCAGGUAUUCAGGUGGAGAUGGAGUUCUCAAAAUCACUCGAGGAGCUCUUGUUGUUAUGAAGGCACACAGAUCUGGUACUUUGUAUAUUUUGCAGGGAUCUACUGUGACAGGUGCUGCUGCUGUUUCAACAUCAUUUUUGUCAGAUACAGACAUCACCAAACUAUGGCAUAUGCGUUUGGGGCACAUGAGCGAAAAAGGCUUGGGCAUAUUAAGUAAAAGAGGACUUCUUUGUGGACAAAGUACAGGUCCAUUGGAAUUCUGUGAACAUUGUAUUUUUGGGAAGCAGAAAAGAGUCAGCUUCAGUUCACCAGCAAUUCACAAGACAAAAGGUACUCUUGAUUACAUUCAUUCAGAUCUAUGGGGUCCUUCUCGUGCUCCUUCUAAAGGUGGUGCCAGGUACAUGUUGACUUUCAUUGAUGACUAUUCAAGGAAAGUUUGGGUCUAUUUUCUUAAGCAUAAAAAUGAUGUUUUCCUAACUUUCAAGCAAUGGAAAGUUUUGAUUGAGAAACAAGCAGGAAAACAUGUUAAGCGGUUGAGAACAGAUAAUGGCAUGGAAUUUUGUGGAGGUGAAUUUAAUGAAUUUUAUAAAAAUGAAGGAAUUGUUCGGCAUCACACCGUCAGGAUGACGCCUCAACAAAAUGGUGUGGCUGAAUGUAUGAACAGAACGCUUUUGGAGAGAGCAAGAUGUAUGAUCUCAAAUGCAGGGUUGACAAACGACUUUUGGGCAGAGGCGAUCAAUAUGGCCUGUUAUAUUGUCAACCGUUCUCCUUCUGCAUCUCUUGAUUUCAAAACUCCUGAGGAAGUUUGGUCAGGUACUCCUGCUGAUUACUCAAAUUUAAAAGUUUUUGGGUGUCCAGCAUACAUGCACGUGAAUGAUGGAAAAUUGGAGCCUAGGGCUAAAAAGUGCAUUUUUCUUGGGUAUGCUUCUGGGGUGAAAGGAUACAGAUUAUGGUGUCCUGAUCCCAAAUCCCCAAAAUUUGUAAUCAGUAGAGAUGUUACUUUUGAUUAAUUGUCUAUGUUAUCUUCCAAGAAGGAGUCUUCUAGUCCUUGUACUACUGAUAGUACACAGAAGCAGGUGGAGCUUGAUAUUGGCAGUUCUGGUCCUUCUCAAUCCAAAUCUUCUAUUCAGCAAGUGCCAGUAGAUGCACUUGAAUCUACUAUUGAAGAUAGUUCAAAAGAAGAGGAGUAUUCCAUAGCCAGAGAUAGACAAAGGAGAGAUAUUCGACCACCACAAAGAUAUGCAAAUUUAGUUGCAUAUGCUUUAUCUGUUGCAGAAGAAACUGAUGCAGCUGGUGAGCCUUCUACCUAUUCAGAAGCAGUUUCUUGUGAUGAUUCUACAAAGUGGUUGAUUGCGAUGAAUGAAGAAAUUGAAUCUCUUCAUCAGAAUGAAACUUGGGUUCUUAUAAAGCCACCGUCAGCUAAGAAAAUUGUUGGUUGCAAGUGGGUCUUCAAGAAAAAGGAAGGUAUUCCAGGGGUUGAAGAUGCAAGGUAUAAAGCACGAUUAGUUGCAAAGGGCUAUAGUCAGGUACAAGGUGUUGAUUUUAAUGAUAUAUUCUCACCUGUUGUUAAACAUAGCUCUAUUCGUGUUUUGCUUGCUUUAGUUGCCAUGUAUGAUUUGGAGUUAGAGCAGCUUGAUGUUAAGACAGUGUUCUUGCAUGGCGAACUUGAAGAACAAAUUUAUAUGAGACAACCCCAGGGUUUUGAAAUUGAAAGUAAGGAAGACCAUGUUUGCUUGUUGAGGAAAUCCUUAUAUGGAUUGAAGCAGUCUCCAAGACAAUGGUAUAAAAGGUUUGAUUCCUUUAUGUUGGGUCAUGAUUAUUUGAGGAGCAUGUAUGAUAGUUGUGUUUACUUCCGGAAGUUAAAUGAUGGUUCUUUCAUUUACUUAUUGUUAUAUGUUGAUGACAUGCUCAUUGCUGCCAAGAAUUUGUCAGAAAUUCACACUUUGAAACUGCAGUUAAAUAGUGAAUUUGAAAUGAAAGAUUUAGGAGCAGCUAAGAAAAUUCUUGGCAUGAAUAUCAAUCGAGAUCGAGUAGUAGGGAAGUUAUUUUUGACCCAGAAAAAUUACCUUGAGAAAGUCUUGGAGCGUUUUGGCAUGAAAGAUGCUAAACCAGUAUCUACUCCUCUUGCCAGCCAUUUUCGGCUAUCUGCUGCUCAAUCACCAAAAUCAGAUGAAGAGGAAGAUUAUAUGGCACGGGUUCCUUAUUCCAGUACAGUCGGCAGUAUUAUAUAUGCAAUGGUUUGUACUCGUCCAGAUAUUGCACAAGCAGUCAGUGUUGUUAGCAGAUAUAUGUCUUGCCCUGGUAAAACACAUUGGCAGGCUGUGAAGUGGAUUCUCAGAUACUUGCGAGGUACUUCAAAUGCAUGUUUGGAGUUUGGAAGAAAUAAUAAUACUUUGGUUGGUUUUGUAGACUCAGACUACGCUGGAGAUCUUGACAGGAGAAGAUCACUUUCAGGCUAUGUAUUUUGCAUUGGCGGUUGUGCUGUUAGUUGGAAAGCUACUCUACAACCUGUCGUAACUUUGUCUACUACAGAAGCAGAAUAUAUGGCUGUGACCGAGGCAAUCAAAGAAGCCUUGUGGUUGAAGAGUUUAUUUAGCGAGUUAAGUCUAUAUCAAGGUGUUACUGAUAUUCACUGUGAUAGUCAAAGUGCCAUACACUUGACUAAAGAUCAGAUGUAUCAUGAGAGGAUGAAACACAUUGAUGUGAAAUAUCAUUUCAUUCGGGAUAUCAUUGCUGAAGGAAAGGUCCUUAUUCAGAAAAUCAAUACUAAGGACAAUCCAACCGAUAUGUUUACAAAACCUCUUCCACUUUACAAGUUCAAGCAGUGCUUGGAUUUGGUUGGUGUUCAUUGUUCGUGAUUUCGGCCCAUUGGGGCUUAUGUAGCGAAGGUGGAGAAGAUUUGUCGAUGUUGGGACCAUGCCAAGGUGGAGAUUUGUUGAAUGUGGCGUUUGUCCCACAUCGGACAAAGCCAGAGGAAGACGGCUCAUCAGGGCCUAUAAAUAUAUGGCCUUGGUGGUGAAGACAUUUGCACCACUCAAGAGAGUUAUAUGGGCUAUUAGCUUCUUGAGUCAUCUAGCCCAUUCAGUUAAAUAUUUUAGGCUCUCUUGUUUUGAGUUUAGGAAUUUUUCCUAAACCUUUUGUAAGUGCCUAUUGGCCUAGGAACCACUUUCCUACGGCUUUUGUAUUUCUUCUUCAUAGUAGAAAUAUUGCUCCUCCCUCGCCCGUGGACGUAGGUCAAUUUGACCGAACCACGUAAAUCUUUUGUGUCUUUUAUUUGCUUUGUUAUCCGUCUUUAUAUGGUCGGUUUUACCGCCUAAUUAUUAUAUGGCUGGUAUCUACCGCCUAUCUAUUAUAUGGUCGGUUAUACCGCCUACUUUGUGCUAACUUGAGUUUGUCUAUUUCCUGGCCCGGUCCUAACAUAUCCAAACGUUGUAGUGUUUGGAAACAGUAAUUUGGUUUGAUCUAGAAACAGCAGACUCUCAAAUCAAAUAAAAUAGUGAAUCAUGGCGGCUAUAGCAGCAAUUAGAUUCCUAGAAGAGGGGCAUUUAUAUCUCCUGUACGGGUGCCCACAUAAUAGUUUUUGUCUUUGUCAACAUAAUAAGGUAGAAAGAAACUUGGACUACACUACUUACUAUAGGUAUUGUACAUGGUAAUGAUUUAAUCGCAAGUAUGGUCUAAAAUUAUUUUUGUUGCAAGCAUUGGAAUAUCCUUAUUUUCAGAUUUGUAUUAAUGGAUUUGUAGAUUGCCACCAAAGUUUGGAGAAUUGAGAGUUUCUUUUUCAUCCAUAUUUGGAUCAAUGUUCUUAUUAAUUAGUAAACUCUAAUUACCAAAACUAUUGCUUUUAGCACAACAAAAAAGUAUGAAUUUCAUAGCAUUGGAACCACGUUGCGUUCCGAACAUUCGUAGGAGUAGAGCUUCUUUAGCUUGUUAGGCAGUAGUUGGUUGCUGUCUCUCUUUGUACUCUUUUCAGUUCAUAAAUAAAGAUUAAAGUUAAAAAAAAAAAAAAAACCACGUUGACUUUGUUUUUAAUUAUCAUGCUCUGAGCAUUUCUUCAUUUGUUACUGAAAUAUACGUUUAGAUUGUAUUUUCCGUUAUUUUUCAUGGAAAAAUUACUGUAGUGAUUUGGUGUAUGUGAGGAAAAAAGGUAAUAAAAAAAUGUGAUCACGAAAAAUGACGUAAUUUUCUGACAGAAAAUAGCAAUUCAACGUGAUCAGUUUCGAUUUAGUAACUAAAACUAAGUGAAGUAAACGGACCCUUGUUUCAAAGUCAACAAAUGACACAGGGAUAAUUUUUCCAUCCAUGCUCGUAAGAGCAUUCUUUACUUAUUAAACCGAAUCCUAUGACUCCCAACCAAUAUUUUUUGACUCAAAAAAAUAUUCAAAUCAAGCGUCAUUGGUCAAUUGUUGGGCCAACCGUAGUUGGUCCUAAUUAACAUGUGUUAGCAUAUAUGUAGCAAAAAUAUUAAAGUAUAUGAUUUAACUCUGUUGUUUAAAUUAAUUAUAUGACUUUUCAUCCCACUCAAAUAGCUGAUAUUAUUUGAAACUUAACCAAAUUUUUCAUGGAUUAAAAUGGGGACACAUUAAUUGAAAAUUGGGUUUUUCUAACGAUUGUCCUAUGGGUACUCCUUAACACAUCUACAUUCUACUUAACCUACCAUAUAUUUACACACACUAACAAUUACUAUUUUUUCUUACAUAUAUACAUUUUUCCUAAUUAAUCCCCUCUUAUUUAUACGCUUUUCCUAAUUAAUUUUAUAUAUUUAAAGAUUUAACAUCUGAAAUACAUCUUAACGAGUGCCUUAUGGGCAAAUUUAUGAGCAAGGUGCAGAUUUAUGAGAGAGAUUAGGUAUAAAGAUAUUAAAUGUUAAGUACCUUGUCUAGUUAAUGGGAGAAAGUUACCUUAUCCAUUAUUGCAAUUUGGGUUGUCACUCAAUGAGAAAAUUAAUCAAAUUUGAAAUGUAGCAUUCAUUAUGGAGGCCACAUUAAACCAACCCGGUUCUCUUUUUAUUGGACCACUUCAACGGGUCAAUGCUCAAACCGUCCAAUUUCAAUAGGUUACCAGUAACCAAGUUUUUAACCCUUAGGUUGAGGGGCUACGGAACCUAUACAGCCAGCCCAUUUGGUGGGUUUUCCUUAUUCAACCGGGCAAUCCAGGCUGCAGGUUGGCUCCCAACUCAUUUUCUAAUUAAUUUGUCUUUAAUGGGACUGGAUGCGUCUCCAUUACGCCCAAACAAAUUGAAGUUGUAUUUUGUUUGAAAAAAUAAUCGUCUGUAAUAUACUUCAUUACUUGUUUUGGUUAUUCACAUUCACAUAGUUUGCAAAAACUGACCAGAUUUUCAUGCUUUAUCAAUUAUUACCAAUUUUACUAUGAUAUUGACCUGCUUUCCACCAUGCAAACUUUCCUACAAAUUAAAUUAUAAAGCACUUCUAACGAAUUUUAUUUUUGAGUACGUUUUAUCUACUCACUGAAGCACAAAGAAUGGCACAUCAGAUGAUAUAAAAAGAUGAUUAAAUGAAUAUGAAUUAUUAAUUAGCAAUUUGAAAGAAAAGUAAUGAAAGGAGCCCAAAGUACUGGGCUCUUUUUUUUUUCCCCUCGUAUCCCCCCACUCUAGCAAUUAAACAACUAAUAAAACAAAUCCAUGAUACUUCUUAAUUUCCGUUUGGAAUUGCAAUGACUUAUAAAAAAGCACUUCUAACACAAGUGCUUUUAAGAUACGAAAAGCUGGACUCCUUAGGCUAAUUACUCAGAAUAUUGUUAAAAAAAGGAAAACUCAGACGUUUAUGGGUUUGACAAUGAUUCACUGCAAAUCUAUGGCUGCCGGGCUGUGUCUGCCCGGCAGCAAAAAAGGCAAAUCUUUUUUUUUUAAGCUCUGACACCGCUACCGGGCUGACAAGCGAAUAUUUUUUUUUUAUAUAAAGUUGCUGGCUACCGGGCCUGGUCAGCCGGCAGCCGACAGAAUAAACAUUUGCAGCUUUGAAAGGGUUGCAUGUUCUCUCGCUUUACAAGGGAAAGCCCUUUCUUCACGUAGACAAGAAUAAAACAUUAUUAAAACAUUUGCCUACGUGAAAAAAAUUUGCAUGUUCUCUCGCUUCAUUUGUAGCUUUCAAUCAAAGGGAAUAAAAACAUGCAGCCACGUGAGAAAGGGUUUUCCAUUGUAAAUAAAUUUUUCCCUCCCUUUGAUUACCAUUACUAAAACAUUUAUUCAAUUUGCAUCUAAAUUUAUCAAAUAGGGAAUAAAAUCAAAAAAGGCUUUUUUUCACCUUAAUCAUUCACCUUCAUAAAGCUGCGCUUAAAUAAGGGUAAUCUUCUACACGUAAAUCAUAACAUAAUAAUCAAAUAAACUUUUUUUUUUGUUGUCAUCCUACAUAAGAUCAUUUUUUUCUUAAUUUUUUAUUAUAGAAAAUUAUGUCCAUUUUGGUGGACCUUUUCUUGUUUGAUUUAUAAGUCAUUAAUGAUAUAUUUAGUUGUUUCCUUAAUAAUAACUAAUUUUCAAUAUACAUGUAUAUAUUGUAUUUUUGGUAGGAUUUUUUUUGUCUUUGUUAGUUUUGGUACAAUAUGCAUGAAUGGUACUUGUUUCCUUUUUUAGUUAAAAUUAUUUGUUAAAAUUAUUAUGAAAUUUUUGAUGUACAAUAUAAUUUUAUAAAUAUAAAUUUAUUGUGCAAUAUAAAAACAAAAUAGGCAAAAAAAUGAAAAUAAUAAAUAAUGAAAAACAAAUAAUUUAAUUAACAAAUAAUUUUUCAAUAAUUUGAGAACUGCAUCUUAUUGUAAAAUGAAUGAGAUUUUUUGUUUAAAUUUUAGUUUAACUCCUAUAGAAGUAAUUAUUGAUUUAACAAAUCUGUUUUUCAUCUUUUUCUGCUGUUCCAAUUUUGAAACGUAAUUUAAUUAACUUAAAAGACUGUCGGAUUUAGUACGUCAAGUGGCAUAAGUUUUUAAUAAAAAAAAGGGUGAAAUUGUUGUAUUGGAAAAUGGGUGAAAUUUUCAACAUUAUUUAGUGAAUUUUGUACAUGUCAAAAGAAAUAUUGUGGUAGAUUUUAUUUUUUUAAUUGAGUUUCAUAUUUGAAAUGAUUGAGGCGUAUAUAUAAAAGAAAGGGUUGGGAUAUCAAAUAUGAUUAAAAUAAAGGAAUAUGUGCAAUUUUGGUCCCCCAACGUUUGGUCUAUGAGUUAAACUAAUCUGUGAUAUUUUGACCAAAAUAAUUAUGAUAGCAAAUUUUUUAUUUUAGCCAAAUUUAGGACAACUAAUACAAAACUAUAUUUGAAUUUUUUUUUAAAAUAAAUUGAACUGGCUGCCGGGUAGCUUGGUUUAAAAGACAUCUAUUUAUUAUGUCUCAUUAUUUCCAAACUUAGGUUGUUUUUAUUCAAUUAAAUUUGGAAAUGCAAAUAUGAAAAAAAGGAAACAAGUACUAUUCAUGCAUAUUGUACCAAAACUAACAAAGACAAAAAAGAUCCUACCAAAAAUACAAUAUAUACAUGUAUAUUGAAAAUUAGUUAUUAUUAAGGAAACAACUAAAUAUAUCAUUAAUGACUUAUAAAUCAAACAAGAAAAGGUCCACCAAAAUGGACAUAAUUUUCUAUAAUAAAAAAUUAAGAAAAAAAUGAUCUUAUGUAGGAUGACAACAAAAAAAAAAGUUUAUUUGAUUAUUAUGUUAUGAUUUACGUGUAGAAGAUUACCCUUAUUUAAGCGCAGCUUUAUGAAGGAGAAUGAUUAAGGUGAAAAAAAAGCCUUUUUUGAUUUUAUUCCCUAUUUGAUAAAUUUAGAUGCAAAUUGAAUAAAUGUUUUAGUAAUGGUAAUCAAAGGGAGGGGAAAAUUUAUUUACAAUGGAAAACCCUUUCUCACUUGGCUGCAUGUUUUUAUUCCCUUUGAUUGAAAGCUACAAAUGAAGCGAGAGAACAUGCAAAUUUUUUUCACGUAGGCAAAUGUUUUAAUAAUGUUUUAUUCUUGUCUACGCGAAGAAAGGGCUUUCCCUUAUAAAGCAAGAGAACAUGCAACCCUUUCAAAGCUGCAAAUGUUUAUUCUGUCGGCUGCCGGGCAGACCAGGGCCGGUAGCCAGCAACUUUAUUAAAAAAAAAAAAAAAUUCCGUUGCUGGGUUGACACAACCCGGUAGCGGUGUCAGAGCAAAAAGAUUCGCCUUUUUUCAUAGAUUUGCAGUGAAUCCUUGUCAGACUCAUCCUUGUCAGACUCAUAAACGUCUGACUUUUUCUUUUUUCAACGAUAUUCUGAGUAAUUAGCCGACUCCUUAAGCAUCAUGUAGUAAGAGGAUUAGUUAUGAAUCCUACUGAUCAUCCCCAUGGAGGUGAGUAAAGAAGAGCUUCAAUUGAUAGGAAAAAAAACCCAUAAUCCCUUUAGGUUAUCCUGCACUUGGAAGAAGAAGUAGAAAAAGGAAUAAAUUUAGUGAUAAUUUGUUUUUUUGUCAAUGCUAUAAUAAAUAGGAGAAAAAUUAGAGUUUUUUCUUCACCUUAAAAAAAAUGAAUAAGCUAUGACACGUUUACUAAAAAAAUCCUUUUGUGGGCGAACGACGGGCUACAGUAAAUAGGAGAAAAAUUAGAGUUUUAUCUUCACCUUAAAAAAAAUGAGUGAGCUAUGAUACGUUUACUAAAACAAUCCUUUUGUGGGAAAACGACGGAACUGAACCUGCGCACAGUGGAUUGUACCCACUGAAUUCACAAUCCACUGCCUUGAUCCGCUUGGCUACAACCGUCCCUCUACUCUAUUUUUAUUUUUAUUUUAUUUUAUAUUCGAAGUUUGGAAAUUAGUCACCGAACACCUCUUAGAAGUACUUUCAGUGCUUAAGAACACUUUUUCAUGCGCCUUAUACACACGUUCACUGAUGUGCUAGCUCCAGCAAAGCCUUACUUGACAUGUAUAAUUAUAGAUAUACACCGCUUGAUAAAACUGCUAUAUAUAAUUGGACUAUCAAAGCUUAGCCCUACAACCCCUCCCUCCUCCUGAAGCCAUUCUUCAAUAUCACGAAGAAAAAAUGUCAAAAUUAUCUUUCUUGUUAUGUCUCAUUCUUGCAACAAUUUUUGUGGUCGUUGUGAACGGCUCCGAAAGUGAGGUUGGGAUCUAUGAGCUCAAGAAAGGAGAUUUUUCAUUGAAGGUGACAAACUUUGGUGCUCGGAUAAUAUCCCUCGUUCUCCCUGACAAGAACGGUACUUUUCAUUUCCUCCUUUUACAUAUACUACAAUGUUUUCAUGGUAAACUCCUAGCUGAUUCUGCACAUCUUUUUCCAACUUGUUCAGGAAAGCCCACAGAUGUUGUUCUUGGCUAUGAUUCUGUUAAAGAAUAUUUGGUGAGCAAUUUAAAAAUUUUGUACCUUCAAUUAGAUUUUUAUGGAAGUUUUCUCUUCUGAGAGGUUUGGAUGUGGAGAGGAUUAUCUUCUGCUGCACUUGACUUUCCAUCUUUAUCUCGUCAUCUUCAUUUCCCUGCAUUAUGCAGAAUUCAGGAAUGAAUAAUUUCUGUAGGGACCUUUGCUUUUUAUUUUGUUAUUAUUAUUUUUUUGGGUUUUCUCUGUCUUUAGGUCAUCCUUCAGUCUUGAGAAGUCAAAAAUGGAUGGUUUUUUGUUUUUUUUUUUUUGGUAGGGUAUAGAGGUUUAAAGAACUUGGUCACCUCGUGGGGCACAUUUGGCUUUUGAUUUUGUUUUAUUUUAUUUUUUGGUUGCCAAGAUAAAAUUGGUCACCUCGUUGGGCACAUUUGACCUUUUCUUUUGGGGUUGAACAUAUAAAGUUUCCGGACCUACUUAUACUCCCUUUCCCUUAUCAUCGAACCCAACCCUCCUUCUUAGAUUCGAAACCUUUCACUUGUAUUGAAAAACAAAAAAUCAGUAUUCAUAAUGAACAACAAUGGCUCCGAAUAUUUAGCACGAAUUCCCGACUGGAUUUUAUUUUUUAAUCUUUUCUGCUUUCUUAGCUGGAUCUUGCCCUUAAAAGAACACAUGACGAUUGUCAAUUGCAGUCUAUCUCAAGAUUCACUGGGUCUAGCUAGCAGAGACAGACCCCCGAGGGGGAUGGGGGGAGCCGCCCCCACAACUUCUAAAAAUUUGGACCUAUUUAUUUUUAAGUGAUAUUAUUUUGUCCCCAAUUUUAAGAUAAGUUAUUUUUUAUUUCCUUCUUCUUUAUUAAUGUUAGUAAACAAUCAUUAGUAGCUAAUAUAGGCUGUAUAGCUUUUGAACAGCAACUAAUUAAAGAAACAUAAUUUAUUUUUAUGUAAGUCUACAAUAAACUAACUCCUAAUGUAAGAUUGACUUGAAUUAAAAAAAAUUAGAAAACUAAUCCCAAAAUGUAAGGUUGAAUUAGAUUUAAGAGGGAAAAAAAGCAGGAGUAUUGGUUAAAAACAAAAACAAAAUGUACAGCUUUUUAAUGUGUUAUAAGUGCUUAUCAUUGCCAACUCUAUUGAGGCUUUUAAUAAUGAUGUUCUUGCUUAUAUAUUGAUCAGAUGAUAUUGUGAAAGAAAUAAUUCGAAAAAAAAUGAUAUGGGUCUGUCAUCUUGAUAGAGAUGGUUCUUCUUCGUCCGAUAUUUAUUUUAGUAUCUGGAACACGGAUUUUUAUAAGAAUAGAUUAAGAAAUAUUUGAACUAUGAUUCAAUAAUUGAUGUAUUUCAUCAAACGAAGGAAAUAAAACAUAGGCUCGCAUCCCUUGUAUUAUGAGGAAAUGAAAUGAUUAAAAAGUCUAAUUUUGAUACCUUGUCUUUUACAACUAAAAACAUCUUAUUGCUAGUUAGUGUAAAACUUUCAUUUUAAGUUUUUUUUUUAUACUUUAUAUGCUAAAAUAUUGUUUUAUUAUAUGUUUGACUAGCGGUCCCCCAACUUAAAACCCUGGGUCCAUCAUUGCUUGCUAGAUUAUGUUUUUAAAUUUGAAAAUCCUCAUUAUAAUUGUUUUGUUCCCUUUAGCUUUUGUUCUCAGCAUCUCCGCGUUGGGAAUACUUGGGAUACUUGCCUUUCUUUCUUGGGUGUGGGGAAGGGUUGAAUUUUCUUAUAGAGGCAACUCGUGAAUUGCUGCAUAGAGAUGCUUCAUCCAAUGGCCAUUAAUUUUUAGUUAAAUGUUUUGUCUAUUAUGUUGACUUGGAGGUCCUUCUUUUAAUGUUGAAAAGUACUCCCACAUCAUGAAUAGGAAAAAAAUUAAUUAUAGGGUAAAUUACUAGUAAUCUCCUUAUGAUUUUGCAUAUUAUCACGUAACUUCUCAAAUUUACUCGUGUAGUUUUAUGCAAAAUGGUAAACAGCCUCUUUAACAUCUUUAGUUAAAUGCUAGUAUAACCUUUAAUUAAAUACUAAAUAGAAUGAGGAUUUAACCACCAUGUAUGACUAUGUUAAUAUAUGUAAAAUUGCAAGAGGUCAAGUGAAUAUUUAUGCAAAUUUAUAGGAGAGCUAAGUGGACAUUAUAAUUCCAUCACAUGCAUUUUUUGAGCGCGUCUAGGUCAGUGUUAAUCAGAUAUACCUUCGAUUCAUUUUUUACUUUAUAUAAAAUUUUGGACAAUUACGUGAAUAUUUUAAAAUGUUAGCGAGUCAUAUGGCAAGUGAUUUAGUAUUUAUCAUAGUAGCUGCUACUUAUUUGGUUUAAGCCCAUGGCAUUAAGCUAUAUGUCUCAAAGCACCCGUUCGAUGUCGCUUUAGGUAGAACGAUGAUACAGACGUAUAAACUUCUGUCUGGACAUGCAAUCUUACAUCCCAUGUUUCUAUCAUUUUCGCUAACAAAUUGUUCAGUAGGCCAAUUUUCUUCCUUUAGGCCAGUUUCCUAAAAAUCCAUAAAAAUUCCCUGCAGAAUGAUACACAAUACUUUGGAGCUAUUGUUGGCCGGGUUGUUAAUCGGAUUGGUGGUGCUCAGUUCACUCUAAACGGAGUUCAUUAUAAGCUUGAUGCUAAUGAGAAACCAAACAUGCUUCAUGGUAAUUUACUCCCAGCUAUAACACAUGUAAAUUUGAGUCAUCAACUUUAACCACUGACUCUGUCUGUGGAUGCUAUGUAUCGUGAGGGAAACAGGUGGUAGAAAAGGAUUUAGCCUGCUCACUUGGAACGUGGAGAAAUAUGUGAAAGAUAGGGCCAAUCCUUUCAUUGUAUUGUCCUAUUACAGUCCUGAUGGAGAAGAAGGAUUCCCUGGAAAUCUCCUGGUUAGAGUGACCUAUGCUCUACUUGAACCAUACAAACUGAGCGUAAUAAUGGAAGCGGAAGCCCUGAACAAGGCUACUCCUGUGAAUCUAGCACAACACAGUUACUGGAAUCUUGGAGGCCAUAACAGUGGUGAUGUCCUCUCGGAUAAAGUCCAAAUAUUCGGCUUAC